GAGGCGGAGACCGGCGGUCAACGCCGUUCCCGACGCGUCGACGGCCACGGACCCGACCGUGUAUCCAUACCCAACAAAGCCGGGCGUCCCCUCGCCUUCUCCGACCGACGCGCGAACGGCCGACUGCGACGACAGCAGGUACAAGAAGAUCAACAACGCAAAGAGAGGCGGGAGACGGCGAUGAUGGUCUCUGCUACUCCGCAUGUUUUCGGCUAGAGAGAGAGAGAGAGAGAGAGAGAGAGAGAGAGAGUGAGAGAGGGAGGGAGUGGGAGGACCUUUGAUUUUCAUCCGCCUACCGCGGCGGACUUCCCACGUCUGGUCUUCCAAUCCCGUCCCUUUCUGAUUCCUCAGAAAGACGAAGACGACGAGAAGACGACGAGAAUGUAAGCCUUCUUUUUCUUUUUGGGUGUGGAGUAAAUUGGGGGGGUCCGCGAGACUGGGGAAAUUCCAAUUUGGCGGGCCGGCUCACGCGCUUCUCACGUGCUCGUCCUUUCGUUUCUGCGCCUUUCUCGGAGAGAAACUCUGGUCCGCGCUCGUGUGCCGAUCGAGCAAGAUUCGCCACGUGCGCGAGGGUCGGGAGAGGCGCGAGUGUGAUCGACGAGCGAAGCCAACGGAAAUGUCGCUUUUUUUUUCUUUUUUUUUUAUGUUGUUUGCUAAAUGAUGAUUUACGAAAUUUUAAUUUUCUUUUUAGUGUUUAUAUUUUUUUUAUUUGGAUAAUCGCAAUUCACCGCUUGAUAUUUUGAGUUUCGUAAUGUCAAAUAUGAUACAUGAAUGAUUAUACAAUACAAAUUAUAAAUUAUGAAAUUUCUGUAACCUUGAUUACAGUAAAAUUUUCACUAAAGGUAUAAAGUAAUUGUACUUUUUUCAUUCAUGUUUAGUUAAAGAAUGAUUUGAGAAGAAGUCAUGUGGAAGCUUAAUGCUCUUUUGUCUUAAGAUUUAACAUGGUAAGUCCUAUAUGAAAUUUACGUAACGUGAUUCAUUAUCAAUUACGAUAAUUUGAUGAAAAAUUGCGGUUACUGAUGCCACUAGUGGCCUUUUUAUCUCAAGCCGGGUUGUGUAGGAAUGUGAAGGGAUGAUCCUUCGGUAGCCCUAUGAUUAGACACACGAUCACCAAGGCAACUGGUUUGUGAUUACACCGAAAUUUUUGUCCAGAAAAUUCUCGUGCGCUUCAUGAAAAAUAAAGAUCAAAUUUGUUGACAAUGACAUAGUUUGACACCUAAUCAUGAAUAUUUUUAUUGCACGGUCUUGCAUUCUUAUGCUAGGCUGCAUUUUUCCACAUUUAAUCUUUAAGGACCCUUUUAAUAAUAUCAUUCAUUAUUUUCUUUUUUGUGAACCGACUUGAUGUCACUUGUUUCGGAUCUUUCAUAGUACUAAUAACACACUCAUGCAUAGAGAUGAAUAUCCUCAACAGAAUGCCUUAGAUUUGUUGUUAGUCCCAGUCGAAGUACAGAAUCGCUAUUGCGAACUCUGAGAAUUCCUACUCCGGAAGUGAAGCAAGGUGAUGUCACACUUGUUUCUGCUGGUUUAGCGAGUUUGCUCGGCAGCGAACGAGGCAGAGUUGUCCGAGUGCUCCGAUCUGAGCUAAUAGGUUUAAGGAUGAGGAUAUCGGACUGACUGAAUCAAGAAAAGUCGGGACCUGCUGGUUCGGGGCAGUUCCCGGGGGCAUGAGCCCGGUUACUAAAUCCGUGGGGGUGGGGGAUGGGGGAUAGGACCGGCUAUUUUUUUCGAAAUUUUUUAAAAUUAUUAAAAAAGCAACAAACCCUAAAAUAACAAGAAGUCCAAUAUUAUUUUGGGGAAAAGAUUUACCUGGUCCAUUAUGUGUCAUUUUUAGGGGAAAGAUUUACUUUCAGAAUACUGAAAUUUGGAGGUGGAAUUGCAAAGUGAUCAGUUCCAUUAGACCACACCAGAAACUAGGAACUGGUCCUCCCCGUUCGGUUCCCAGUUCUUGGAUGGGACUGGAUUGGAUCGAAAAUUGAUUACCUUUAAAUAGGUUGACCACCUCUCCUAGAUACUCCGUUCUCUUGUCCACUUCACCAGUGUUGCUCAAUUCCUACACAAUAUUGUCAAGAUCUCAAUUUUGCUGGAAAAAGUUGAUCCUCAUCCCUCGACCUUCAGGAUGAGAACGUAAUUUCUUAUACCAAUCGGCUUCUCAUAUUCUGUGUUAUCUUCUGCUGGUGUCUGAUUAGAGGGGUAAGUUGAAGGAAUUCUCAGAAUUGAGAGCUUAUCAGCAAAAGAGCAUGAGUGAAAUCUAUCAAAGAUAGCUUAUUAUGUAGAAACAUACGAUUUUUGUGCUUGUGAAGAAAGAGACCGUGGAGGAUAUGAUGGAGGAGGAAGGCGAGAAUGGCAAAGAGGAAGUGCCGGGCUUAAGCCAAAUCUAUGCUUUGGGCCGACGGGCUUAACCCAAAUCUGUGCUUUGGGCCGAUUUUAGGGCUAGAACCGACUACCCCUACCUAUAUAAAUAAGAAAGAACAGCUUUUGUCCGCGUACUUUGUUUUAGCGAAAAACUAGUAUCUAUAAUUUCAACGAAAACUUAAUUGCUUUCCUCACAUUUCCAUUUGAAAUCUUCUGAAAGUGCCAAAGUCAAACUCAACUGUUAGUUGGGUGGUUCCCAUACUUAUAAAUGUGCUUAAUCAGAGUGGCACGCCCAUCAAAUUUAAUUUUGUUGCAUGUGGUAAUCAGGCGUGUACCGAUCCCAGACAAGUAGGGUAUUUGCUCUUCCAUGGAGCCCACCCUACAUGAAUCGAAUCCCAGUUUUUGGAAGCUGGAGUGUAGUCUUAGGGUCACACAACUACCUUAAAACCCGGAAUUGGUCAAUUCCACGAAUUUCAUUGUCUAUUAUUUUUUAAAAGUUAAAUUAAUAAAAGUUCCUACAAUUCUAAUUAUUAACACAUCAACAUGUGAUGCAAAAACACUGGUAGACUCCAUAAUAAAGGACAUGUUCAUAUCUAAUGUUCAAAUAAUUUUAAGACAUUAAGAAAAUUUAUAUACAAAUAAUAAAUAUUCCUUCCGCCAUUUCUCAUAUCCGAACAUGAAAAACUUCAUAGAGAAAAGAAAAUCACUACAUACAUACAUACAUACAUACAUACAUACAUAUCUUCCUUAGAACCUGAGAGCCUAUCUUGUGUUCUGUCCCUUCUCUCCUACUUCGCACUUCAGAAUGCACCCUUAUUAUAGAGAGAAAUGCGCUUUCACAUCGAAACCUCCAUACUUGAUUCGCUCUAGCUUGAGAUCCGCUACCUUACUCUGUCUACUGAAUUGCCUUAUCUAUCCAUGCCUUGUCUUGUCAUGCCGGCUGUUUCCUACUAUUGAGAUGCUACUACCAAUGUAACUUCACUCACAGCUGUGCACUAGUUUGCUCUCUCUUAAGUUGGCCCACUCCAUGCUUGCUCACUCCAUUCACUUUUAUACUUCACUUUGUGACUAAUGUAAAUUACGUUUGGUCAUCCAGAUUCGUAUAUGAUAGGAUAAAAAGGUAUUAGAAGUCUUUCGAAUAUUCUAAGCAUUGUAAAAAGUCUCAUUAUAUAUCUUUGAAAAUCCUCUGAAUAUCUUCUCUCUUAGAUUGUCCUCGUACCUCCGGGUAUAUAUGAGUUUAUUCAGUCUAGAGGUCGUCACCAUGCACAGGACAAGAUAAUUCUAUUCAAACUCAAAUCUGGACUACCAAAUGCAGCCUUGCCUAUCUAGCCAUGUCGGAUCCAUAGCUUGCACCUACUCUCUUGCACACUCCCUAGCACCAAUUGCAUAGACAGUUUCAAUCCAGAUGCAUAUAGACAUAAGGAUUACUUUUAGUAAAAACGUGGAUAACUGUAAAUUUUUCUGACUAUAGCUUUGACUCACUAAUGUAACCGGCAAAAUGUUUUAGAUAAUUCAUGGGAAUUCGUCCUGUUUUAGUAAUAUGCACAAGGCAGCAUGACAUUAAUUGUUAGGACUUGUUUCUGUUGUGGGGAAACUUUGUAUCGAAUGUUGGUCUCUGAUCUAAGAAAAUUAGAUGGCUUAGAAAAGUUAUUUCGAUUAUUUUUAGUGAAGUAGUUCACAUUAGUUCCAAAGACUUGUACAAACAGAUAUUAUGUAUUAAGGAUAAACAACGCCAUUUAAGUCUUCUCUAGAAAGAAAAUUACUCAAUUGAUCCUAAACUUGUUUUACGGGUACCAAUUCAUUUAUAAAUUUUUUAAUUUUAUCAAUUUAGUUUUAAACCUUUGCAUGAAACUCCACUGUAAUCCUUCCAAUUAAUUUUUGGAAGAAAUUACUGGUGUGAUGGUCUAGUCAUCGGCAGCCCCACUACCAUGUUGGCGAAAGUUGGACAAAUGGACCAGGGAAAAUUAAAAAAAAAAAAGUCCUAAGCCUAUUGUAAUUUGUAAUUCAAUCCUAAAUUUUUGCAAGUAUGCUAAUUCAGUCCAUCCAGCAUAUUUUAGAUAACCAACACUAACGUGGACAAUUUGUAAUAAUAAUUUAUUGUUUUUUUAAUUAAUUUUAUAAUCUUUAACUUUACUUUAUCUUUAUCUCUUUCUUCCUUCUUUUUUCUAUUUUUCCACAUAGUGCUGGUGAGGGUUGUGGCCCUCUCUGACCUUGCCUAGAUUUAGGUGAGGCCUAGGGGCUGUAGGCAAGGCGAUUUUGCCCAAAUCCGGGUGAGAGCGGCGACUCCCGUCGGUAGUUGGCUAGGGCUUCCCAACCCUCAUCAGAGGCUCACUAGCCAACGUGGAGAAAAAAGUAAAUAAGGGAGAAAAGAAAAAAGAAAGGGAAAAGAAAUGGAAAAAAAAUUAAUUUUUUAAAUAUUAUUAAAAUUAUCCAUGUUAAUGUCAUUCAGCUAGUGGGUGUCCACACUAACGUCAGCUAGUCAAUAUAUAUCAUAUGGAUUAAAUUAGCACAAUAGUAAAAAAAGAAAAAAAGAAAUUAAGAUUGAAUUGGCAAAAAUAGAAAAUUCUUGAUAGAAUUGAUACACUUGCUAUUGAUUUAGGCCUUUGUUGAUCAUUCUCCUGAUGGACCACACUAGAAUUUCAUGCAAUGAUUUAAUAUUAAAUUGAAAAAAUUGAAAAAGUUAUGAUAAAAUUAACAUCCAUGUUGAGAAAUAUUGUGAGCAAUAAGGGUAAAAUAGUAACUUAGUUAUGAGUAGGGUUAUGUACAUAUGAGCAUAUAUAUAUAUAUAUAUAUAUAUAUAUAUAUAUAUAUUUGUAACCCUAUUUUAUUUUGAUAAUUAGAAACCAAUUAUCUCUUCACAUGGUAUUAGAGCCACACUUAAAAAAAUAAAAAGCCUAGUAGCCAGAUUACUGGAGACCAUUGUUCCGUCAUCGGAAAAGGCCAUGCCUCCGGUCGGCGACACUGAUCCAUCAUCGGAAAAGGCCGCGUCUCCAGCUGGCAACCCACGACAUUGAUUGGCGACCCUAGCUGUCAUCGUUCAAAUCCUACGUGCAACAACCCAUGACGUUGAUCGGUGACCCCAGCUGUCAUCGUUCGAAUCCUGUGUGCAGCGACCCACGACAUUGAUCGGUGACCCCAGUUGUCAUCGUUCAAAUCUUGCAUGCAGUUGAGGACCCUUUGGCAUUUAAUCAGUAGUGUAUCGGCAAAUUUGCCAGUUCGGUUCAGCCACAUCUCUUUUCUUGGUGGUUUUUUUACUAUGGAUUAUGAAAGAGCAGUUUAUCAGCCCACGAGUCGUGACAGAGGCAAACGCAUUAGCUAAGGCAUUAGGACCAAUCGUGUUUGAAUUCGUUCUUUCCUCUGACCCGGGUGUAAUAUCGCAAGUUGAAUGUACUAUCGUUAGCUGCUCCUUUGGAUUGCAUUCCAAUUUGCUCGUGAACUCUUUUUUUAUUUGCUCUUGCAUUGGGACGCUUGUUUGAUGACUUUGGUGUGGCUGCUGGGAUUGACACGAGUUACUGAUUUUGGUGUCUUGCAUUGUAAUGAGGCCAGUGGUGCUCUUACUGGAUUGACACGAGUUGCUGACUUUGGUGCUGGCUGUGGGGUGCUGGAAAGGCUUCUAGAAACAGCGAAUGAUGGGAUACUUUCUGGUGGUGGAUGGUAACCUACUUUAUUAUUUGUACUGCACAAAAUUUUAGAAGUGGUUAUUACGGAGGAUAGAGUUGUUGUUUCGCACUUGAAAGUGAUGUUGCAUUGAAUUAAUGGAGAUAUUGAGAAUAAGCAUACUGGUGCUUUGGUGAUUCAUAUGGUGAUUCGAUUGAGGCCUUUUUGUUUGGAAUUAUUGUGUAUUUGAUUGAAUUAUUGGAAUUAACUAUUGGCAACUAUGGAGUUUAUUUCUUGGGCUCAAUCAUUCUUUAUCCACUAAUGGUGACCAAUGGAUCAACUUCCAGAUCUCCUUUUGGUCAUUUUCAAUUAACAUCUGUCAAGUUAGAUGGAACUAAUUAUCCAUCCUGGUCUAAAGCGGCCAAGGUCUAUUUUAUUGCCACCAGACAACUGGGCUAUCUCACGUCUACAAUAUCGUCUGACAAGAGUAAAGCUGUCGAUUGGAUUGCAGGAGAUGCGAUGAUUUGGACCCUAUUGUGGAAUAGCAUGGACCCUAAGGUCAGUCCUCACUAUAUUCAAUGUGACUUCGCUAAAUCAGUUUGGGAUAAGUGCGCAUUACUCUAUUUGGGGCAAAAUAAUAUGAUGCGAGUAUGUGACAUGUAGGAAAAGUUAUUUGAUAUUCAACGUGGAGAUCAAUCUUUGUUUGAUCAUCAUGCUCGGUUCACCACUUUCUACCAACGAUUGGAUACUUAUCUUCCUGCUUCGAACGAUCCAGAUGUUUUGGCUAAACGCCAAGAGGAUCUCUUCAUCAGCACAUUACAUCUUAGAGUUCUCUUCCCACAAUAGAUGAAAUCUUCUCUCGGCUCUCUUUCUACAAUUCUUGAGAAGAGUUCUUCCAUGCUGGCGGUGGAGAUUAGUGCUAUUCUUUCCCAUGGUUCUAGUGGACGUAGAGGUAGAGGUCAUGGAUGCGGUGUUGUUCAUGAUGGAAGUCGUAGAGGCUGUGAAGGGGGAAUUGGGACUCGUGGUACCAUUAAUUCUUGGAAUAGUCGUGGUUCCUGCUAUUGUCACACAUUGUCAAAGAGUUGGACAUAUAGAAGCGUAUUGCCAUACACUUCACCCAGAGCUCAAACACCUCUUGUUGCAUAUGCAAAGAUUGAGGAUUCUCUUGGUCCUCCCUUAAUGGCUCUACCAAGUUCAACUCAAGUUCUGAAGACAGGGGAUUUAGUUAUAUUAACACGUGCUGAGUAUGAUACAUUAGUUUGCUCCCAACAAGUGACAGGAUCUUCAGCUCCUAUUGUAACUCUGGCACAAACCUCUAAAGGUAGAUCAUCAUGUUUGUUGUUUGCAUCAUCUGAUUAUUGGGUUAUAGACUCUGGAGCUACCAAUUACAUGAUUGGUAACUCUAACCUACUGUCUUCUUUUCACUCUACAUUUCCUUCAUUAUCAAAUUCAGUUACAUUAGCAAAUGGUUCACAGUUUCAGGUUACUGGUAUGGGAGUUGCUCAUUUGAGUCCCUCUCUUUCUUUGUCAUAUGUCCUUCACCUAUCAAAAUCUCUUUAUAAUUUAAUUUCUGUUAGCUCGUUGACCAAAGAACUAAAUUGUUCUAUGACCUCUUCCUCUUCUCAUUGUGUUUUUCAAGAUCUAAGGAUUGGACAGAUGAUUGGUGGGGGACAUGAAUCAAAUGGCCUGUACUAUCUUGAUAAGAAGGUGUUAGCUACUGCAGUUAUGAAACAGACAUCCAUCGAGGUAUAUCAGAUGCAUUGUCAUGCUGGUCAUCCAUCACCAAACCUACUUCGACGGCUAUUUCCUGAGUCUAAGUCCGUGAGUUCCUUUCAGUGUGAAGCUUGUCAGUUUGGUAAACAUCAUAGAGCUUCUUUUCCUUCCCGCAUUCAGAGUUGUGUGUCUAGUCCAUUUAAGUUGGUUCACUCAGAUGUAUGGGGUCCAUGUUGUGUGUCUGAUGUCCCUAGAUUUAGAUAUUUUGUUACAUUUGUGGAUGAUUUUUCCUGAAUGACCUGGUUAUUCUUAAUAAAAGAUCAUACAGAGAUUUUUCGUUGCUUUAAAUUUUUCUAUUUCAAAGUGUUGAAUCAAUAUAAUAUCUUUGUCAAACAUUUACGGUCAGAUAAUGCUAGAGAAUACCUUGCUACAACUUUUGGUUUCCAACCAUUUUUGAAAUCUCAUGGUAUUAUUCAUCAGACGUCCUGCACAUACACUUCACAACAAAAUGGCGUAGCUAAACAUAAAAAUCGCCAUCUUCUUGAUGUUGCCUGUUGCCUCAUGUUUCAUAUGCAUCUACCUAAGCAUUUUUGGGGCCAUGCUAUUCUUACGGCGUGUUAUUUAAUUAAUAGGCUUCCAACUUCUGUCCUUCAAGGGAAAACACCAUUCUCAAUUUUAUAUCCAAAUCUUCCUCUCUUUUCCUUACCACUUCGGGUCUUUAGGUGUGUUUAUUUUGAACAUAAUCUUACUCCAGGUCUUGAUAAAUUGGAUUUUUGUGCUGAAAAAUGUGUCUUUGUGGGAUACUCUCAAACUCAAAAGAGAUAUAAAUGUUAUAGUCCUACUUGUCGUCGUAUGUUCGUGUCUAUAGAUGUGAUGUUCUUUAAAGAUCAGUCAUAUUUUUCUUCUCAUAAUUUUCCACAUACACAUGGUGAUAGUGAUGAUUGUGUCCUACCAAUGCUUCUACUACCUUCCUUCUCUCCAGCUACCUCUAGAAAAUUUUAGCUUGCUGACUGCACCUAUCAUCAACAAAGUACAGUUCCAACUAUGACAAUACAGUCUUCAUCAGCACCUGAUUCAUCUGUUCCCCCAUCAGUUGCAGUGCCAGCCUCUGAUCCUGAUCCACCCAUUGCUUCUAAAAAAGGUACAUGUUCUUGUGUUGGUCGUCUUGUUGAUCGUUAUUUUGGUCUUUCUGAUUGUGUUAGUAUGCAUCAUUAUAUUUCAAAUUUUUUGUCCUAUGAUCGUUUAUCUCCUACCUUCUCUACCUUUAUCUCAUUGUUGUCUUCUGUUUUUGUGCCUAGCAGUGUUGCUGAAGCUCUUGCUCAUCUGGGUUGGUGUCGUGCCAUGGAAGAUGAAAUGCAGGCACUAAUUCUGAACAAAACUUGGCAGCUUACUUCCUUACUUACCGAUAAGCAACCUAUUAGUUGUCGUUGGGUUUUCACCAUUAAAGUUCACCCGGAUGGUACUCUUGAUCGAUUGAAGGCAUGGUUAGUUGCGAAGAGGUAUACUCAAACUUAUGGUGUCGACUAUAAUGACACCUUCUCUCCCAUGGCCAAAAUUCCCUUUGUCAGUGUCUUUAUUUCAUUGGUUGUGCAAUUUGGCUAGAUCCUUCAUCAAUUGGAUGUGAGAAAUGCCUUUUUACAUGGUGAUUUGGCUGAGGAGGUCUACAUGGAGCAACCACCUGAGUUUAUUGCUCAGGGAGAGAAUGUGGUAUGUCGUUUGCACAAAGCUUUGUAUAGACUUAAACAAUCUCCUCGUGCUUGGUUUGGUAGAUUUAGUGAUGCGGUUAUCAAAUUUGGAUUAAAGCGGUGUCAAGUAGAUAAUUUAGUUUUUAGCUCUAUGUCGUCAACUAGUUGUAUCCUUCUAGUUGUAUAUGUGGAUGAUAUCAUCAUUACUGGCAGUGAUUUAGGAGGUAUUCAAAAACUUAAGCAAUUUCUGCAUAAAGAAUUCAGUACUAAAGAUCUAAGAUGUCUUUGAUACUUUCUUGGUAUCAAAGUAUCAUAUUCACAUGCUGGUAUCAACUUAUCGCAACAAAAGUAUGUACUGGACAUCCUUGGCGAGGUUGGAUUUCUUGAAGUAAAGCCAAUCGAUACCCCUAUGGAUCCCAAUAUGAAACUUGAUGCAAAACAUGGAGAAUUACUACAUGAUCCAGCAAAGUAUCGAAGAUUAGUUGGUAAGUUAAACUAUCUUACUAUCAUAGGACCUGAUAUAUCCUUUGCAGUUAGUGCAGUAAGUCAGUUCAUGAGUUCUCCUUAUAUCGCUCAUUGGGAUGCUGUACUUAAGGGAGCGCCAGGUAAAGGACUACAGUUCAAGAAUUAUGGCUAUCUAAACAUUGCAGGCUUUUCUGAUGCCGAUAGGGCUGGAUGUCCUUUGGAUAGGAGAUUUACUUCAUGCUAUUGUGUGUUUCUUGGGGGUAAUUUAGUUGCAUGGAAAAGCAAGAAACAACAUGUAGUUUCCCAAUCAAGCGCUAAAGCUGAAUAUUAUGCUAUGGCACAUGUGACAAGUGAAUUACUAUGGUUAAGAAUGUUACUAUUAGAGAUUGGAAUGUCAUCAUCAAAUCUAUCAGUGUUGUAUUGUGAUAAUCAAUCCGCUAUUCACAUUGCAUCUAAUCCAGUCUUCCAUGAGAGAACUAAACACAUUGAGGUUGAUUGUCAUUUUGUGUGAGAAAAAGUUCAGAAAGGUGAGGUUAUUCUUUAACACACAAAGUUGGAGGAUCAACUCGCAAACAUUUUUACGAAAUCUCUAUGGGGGAAUAGAGUGAGCAUCUUUUGUAACAAGUUGGUAUUAUUUUAUAUUGUUGGAGAAAUCUUUCUGGAAUAUUUUGAAGCUGACAAAACGUUUCUAUCAGUCUAGUUUGAAGUUUUGCAGACUCGUCUAUUAAAGUCUGAAGACCUCCGGACUACUAGACUCAAGACUCAAAGUUUAUUCUCAUUGACAGUUUCUAAUCCGUUGAAGAAAGGCUAUCCAGAACUGCUUCAUUAAGGAUUUGGCCUUAUCGUCUGGAGAAGAUCUCUUGGCUGGAUAUGACAUAACGGAUUCCUUUAUUCAAAUCAAGAAUGAUUAAAGAUCCGAUGAUUGACGAAGUAUUAUUGGAAUGUUCUACUUAUGGAAACCAAGAUCCUGAUUGUAUGGGCGAGCAGGAUUGAUGGGCUAUCGACAUGUUCCUUUAAUAGCUCGAAUAAUCUUCUUAAUUGAUUCUGUCCAACGGGAGGAUUGGAAGAAUUCCUUUGGUAAGUGCCAACGGGUAUGAUGGCACAAAGGAGUAUAAAAGGAAGACGUUCCAGUUGUUCGAGGUGUGCACGAUAGAAGAAUUCCAAAGUCUGAAGCUCUUUGAUUCUUAGUCAAUUCAUUUACUGAGCGAAAUCUUGUACACAAAAGAAAGUCUAUAUUUUGAGAUACCUUGAGGAAGUGUGAUAGAAUAUCUACACUGUGGAAUCAAGGGAAAGCAGUGCUGUAACAUCUCUUUUGUUCAUAGUGAAAUCCAGCCAGUGGGCUGUCAGUGCAGAAGAGUGGACGUAGGCUUGAAAUAAGCCGAACCACUAUAAACUUUGUGUUCAAUUUUCUCUUCCUUACUCUCUACUUUACUUUAAUCAUAGUUCAAUUUGUUAACUAAAAAAGAGCUUCCUUUCUGAUUUGUCUAGUAUUGUUUUCAUAUCUCGAGAAAUUAUUUUUACACCUAUUCACCCCCCUCUAGGUGCUUAUACUAGCUAUAUCAAUUGGUAUCAAAGCUCGUGUACUCACUUUGGUUGAAGUGUUUUACUUCAGAGUUAAAGAUCCAUGGCUAGUAUGCUAGCUCCAGGGCUGGUGGAAGGGCAAAGCAAUUCCAGAUCACCUUACUUUGAUGGAAAUGAUUACAACAUCUGGAAAAACAAGAUGAAAGCGUUUUUACGAUCAAAGGAUCCUCUGGAAUGAGACGUUGUAGAAAAAGAAAUCACUCCUAAAGCUGCAUCUGUCACAGAGAGAGGAAAAGAAACUGUUGAGUCAAGUGAAAUGACUUAGGAAGAUAUAAUCAAGACAAGCUCUUGAUGCAAAAGCAAUUUAUUCUUUAUAUUGUGCUUUAUCACCUACUAAAUAUAACAGAAUAUCUUCUUGUGUUACACAAAAAGAAGUCUGGGAUAGGUUACAUAUCACCUAUGAAGGAACUGAUCGAGUGAAAGAGACCAGAAUCAACAUUCUCCUCGAUCAAUAUGAAGCCUUCAAAAUGAAAUGUGGAGAAUCUAUAACUGACAUGUUUAGUCGUUUUACAGAAAUCGUGAAUGGUCUUCAAAAUCAAGGUCAACCAAUUUCUGAUCCCAUGAAGGCAAACAAGUUACUGCAUGGACUCUUCAAGGAUUGGAAUCACAUAAAGACCUCAAUAAGAGAGACACAAAGAAUCAUGCCACUAUCUGUCGAUGAGUUAGUUGGAACUCUUCAGUCUUAUGAAGUGGAACGAAUCAAUGAAGACGAAGAUCCUAAAGGUAAGAAAUCCUUGCAUUAAAAUCCAAUGAUGAUUCUGAUGUCACAGAUUCUGAAGACGAUAUGGAUGAUGAGUAGCUUGCUCUCAUGAUAAGAAGAUUCAAAAAGCUGAACAUAAAAGGAAGAAGAUUCAAUCCAAAGAAACAGAGUUUUCAAAAGCAACAGACCAAGUCUGUUGAUGAUGAUGAAUCAAACAAAGAUGUACUCUGCUUUGAAUGUAAGAAAAAGGGACACAUCAGACCCAACUGUCUUCUUCUGAAAAAGAAGAAAGGAAAAGCUGAAAAAUAUCGAAAGGCUCUUAAAGCAGAAACCUAGAGUGAUACAAAGUGUGAAGAAAGUGAUGAUGAUUAUACCAAUAUAUGUCUGAUGGCACAAUUGGAUUAUGAAUCAAACUCCGAGACAAACUUAGAUUCAGACAGUGAAUUUGAGGUAAGUAACUUUAAAAUCCCUGUUAAAGUUUCCAAAUACAUUGAUGAGCUGUGUUUUAGUCUUAAGACUUCUCUUAAAAGGAUUUCCGAACUUAAAAAGGAAAACUUUGCACUAAAACAACAGGAAAAUGUUUUGAAAGAAAAGUUGAAACAUUUAGACACAAAUGUUUCUACUCUUAAAGAAAGCGAAGAUAAUCUCUUGAAAAAAUAUGCAUUUUUAAAAAAUGACUUAUCAAAUAUUUCAAAAAUAUUUUCAAUAGGAUCUGAGAAACUUGAAAAAAUUCUUUCAGCACAAAGACCUUAUUUCAAUAAAUCUGGUUUAGGAAUGACAGCAGAAACCAUUCCUUUAAUUGAUUUUCCUAAAGUGAAGGAAAGAAUUAAACAGAGACCUUCAAAGACAUUUUACAAAAAUCAUUUUCAAAAAGUGUUUGUAAAACCAGUGGGUCGAAAUGCUCUCAAAUGUUCAAAGUGCAAUAGUGCAGAUCAUUUUGAAAAAGAGUGUUCUGUGGUUUGGAAACCUGUUAAGAAAGUAUGGGCAAAAACCGCAUAUCAUACUAACACCAAUGGACCCAGGAAACUAUGGGUACCAAAAAAAGCUUGAGUCUCUCUUUUAAAUACAGGUUACUAUCAAGAAAAAGGUAAAAUGGUAUAUGGAUAGUGGAUGCUCAAGACAUAUGACAGGAGACUCAAAUUGCUUCAUAAAGCUCGUUCAAGUAAAUGGUGGAAAAGUCUCAUUUGGAGGAAACAACAAAGGAAAAAUUGUGGGAUUUGGAACUGUAAAGAUUGGAAAUCUCACUAUAAGUAAUGUUUCUCUAGUGGAAGGACUCAACUACAAUCUACUCAGUAUCAGUCAACUAUGUGAUACUGGUUUCAAAAUCAACUUUCAAGAGGGAAUAUGUUUAGGAACCAGUAAAGAUUCUACUCAGUCAUUCAUGGGCCGAAGACAUGGAAAUAUCUACCUCUUGGAUGUGAAACCAGAUGAAUCGUAAUGUCUAAUCUCAAUUCAAGAUGAAGCGAGCUUAUGGCAUAGAAAGCUUGGGCACAUCAAUAUGAAGCAAAUAGCCAAAAUUUCAGCAAAGAAGCUUGUUCGUGGUCUACCCAAAUUGUCAUACCAAAAGUCUGAUCUAUGUACAGCGUGCGUAUUGGGAAAGUAGGUAAGAAAUUCCUUUAAACCAAUAAAUCAAGUUUCCACUAAUCGUGUACUGCAGCUUCUGCAUAUGGACCUUUUCGGACCAACCAGAACUCAGAGCAUUGGAGGUAAGAAAUAUUGCCUAGUAAUUGUGGAUGAUUACUCACGAUUUACUUGGGUAUAUUUCCUAGCAAGUAAGUCUGAAACUUUCUCUUACUUUGAAAAGUUUGCAAAAAAGGUUCAAAAUGAAAAAGGGUAUGUUAUCUCGAGUAUAAAAAUAGAUCAUGGAGGUGAAUUUGAAAAUCAUGAUUUUAUAAAAUUUUGUGAUGAAUCUGGUUUUCAGCAUGUAUUCUCCUCUCCAUAUACUCCAGAGCAAAAUUGAGUUGUGGAAAGAAAGAACAGAGUGCUUCAAGAAAUGGCUAGAACUCUUUUAAUUGAAAGUAACAUCUCAUCACGUUUUUAGGCUGAAGCAGUUUCAACAGCAUGUUAUAAAUAGAGUUUUUCUAAGGCCUAUUAUGGAAAAAACCCCUUAUGAGUUAUUCAAAGGAAAGAAGCCUAUUGUUUCAUAUUUUCAUGUGUUCAGAUGCAAAUGCUUUAUAUUGAAAAAUGCAAAUGAUAGAGUUGGUAAGUUUGAAGAAAAAUCAGAUGAAGGAAUUUUCCUUGGAUAUUUUACCUCAAGCAAAGCCUACAUAAUCUAUAACAAGAAGAGUCAAUCUGUGGAGGAAUCAAUGAAUGUCAAAUUCCAGGAUUCUAUGCAAAAUGAAUAUGCUCAGACUCAUCUUGAAGAAUUUGAACUUGCUCCAGACUCUACAAAGUCUAAAUCUCAAGAAGCAACUCAAACUCUGAAAGACCAGCAACAAAUGGUUAUUGAAGAUUCAAAUGAAGUGAUCAUCAACCUGACAAAUCAACUAGUAACUGGAAGCAUAAGUCCAGUCAUCCCAAAGACCUCAUUAUUGGCGACAUUAAUGAAGGAAUUCGCACAGGAUCCAAAAGGCGUGAAGAGUCUAGUGCUGUGGCUCUUAUUUCUGAAAUUGAACCAAAAAGCAUAGAAGAAACUUUAUCUGAUGAAAGCUGGAUUGAAGCUAUGCAAGAAGAACUCAGACAAUUCAAUAUUAAUAAUGUCUGGGAGUUGACUUCUAAACCAAAAGGUAAAUAUAUUAUUGGAGCUAAAUAGGUUUUCAAGAACAAGAUGAACGAAAAAGGUAAAGUGGUAAGAAACAAAGCAAGACUCGUGGCCAAGGGAUAUACGCAAGAAGAAGGGAUAGACUAUGACGAGACUUACGCACCAGUAGUAAGGUUAGAAGCAAUUCGAUUAUUACUUGCUUUUGCUUGUUAUAAGAAUUUCAGGUUAUUCCAAAUGGACGUCAAAAGUGCUUUCCUGAAUGGAUUUAUCCAUGAGGAAGCCUAUGUGGAACAACCACCUGGGUUUGAAGGCCCAAGGAAGCCAGACUCAGUAUUCAGAUUGAAAAAAGCCUUGUAUGGAUUAAAGCAAGCACCUCGAGCUUGGUACGACAGGCUGAGUAAGUUUUUAAUUCAAAAUGGCUUUGAAAAAGGUAAAGUAGACACUACUCUAUUUAUCAAAAGAGAAAGCAAAAGUUUUCUGCUUGUUCAAAUAUAUGUUGAUGAUAUCAUUUUUGGAUCCUCUAAUGAAAGUUUGUGCAAGAAAUUCUCUAAGUCUAUGCAGGAUGAAUUUGAAAUGAGCAUGAUGGGUGAACUAACCUACUUUCUUGGACUUCAAGUGAAACAAUUGAAGGAAGGGACUUUUAUUCAUCAAGAAAAAUAUGCUAAUGAUAUUGUCAAAAAGUUUGGACUGGAAAAUUGCAAAAAGACUGGAAUACCAAUGUCAAGUUCCUUGAAGAUAGACAAAGAUGAAGGAGGAAAGAAAGUUGACUAGAAGCUAUACAGGAGUAUCAUCGAUUCACUUCUUUAUCUUAUUGCUUCUAGACCUGACAUUUUGUUUAGUGUUUGCAUUUGUGCCAGAUUUCAAGCAGGCCCUAAAGAAUCUCAUCUAAGUGCUGCAAAGCGUAUUAUCAAAUACAUUACUUCAACUUCAAGCAUCGGCCUUUGGUAUCCUAAAAAGGGAGACUUUACUCUCCUUGGAAAUUCAGAUGCAGAUCUAGCCGGUUGCAGAGUUGAUAGAAAGAGCACUUCGAGUACCUGUUAGUUACUUGGAAGCAGGACAGUGUCUUGGUUUUUAAGGAAGCAAAAUACAGUAGCUCUUUCUACAGCAGAAGCAGAAUAUGUAGCUCUCGGAAGUUGUUCACAAAUUCUGUGGAUAAAACAACAGCUAAGAGACUUUGGAAUUGAAGAUUCAUGUAUGGAGAUUAACUGUGACAACACCAGUGCAAUCAAUCUUACCAAAAAUCCAAUUCUUCACUCAAGAGCAAAGCAUAUAGAGAUUCGACAUCACUUCAUUAGAGAUCAUGUUUAAAAUGGAGAAGUUUCGAUUUAGUUAGUUGACUCAAAGAACCAACUGACAUAUAUAUUUACGAAGCCUUUGGAGAAAAAUCAAUUUGAAAUCAUUCGUUCCAGACUCAACAUCUUGAAGCUUGAAGAAGUUAAAGUCUAGAGACUCGCAGUCUCAAACAAUCAUGGUUCUUGACUGUAAGUUAUUUUAUUUUCUCUUAUCUCGGAAAGGUACGAUCAUUUAUCUAUUUAUAAUUGAUCUAUGCUAUCUUCAAUUUCUGUGAAAAGUGCAAUUUUUCUUUUUCAAAAAGGAGUUAAUAUUUUAAAAUUGGCAGUUAUCUAUUUUUUAAAAAGGCAGUUAUUUUUAAAAGGGGCAUCUUUUACUUUCCUUUACGACGUUUGGUAUGCCUCUCUUUGACUGAACUAUAUACAGUCGGUUCCUCUUCACUUAACUCCAAAACCCUAAAAAGCAUCGAUCUUCCAUUCCUGUCUUUCUCCCUUGUUUAAUCUUCGAAAAAGUUGUCAUCUUUCUUGGGAAAGUCAAGCAAGGAAUCUCUCAAAGAUUGAGAAAGAUGUCGUCUUCAAGAAAGUCUUCGAGGAUCGCAAGCAGGGGACCACGGCGAAUGAGUAAGGGGCCCACUCACUUUGAUCUCACCGAGGAAGAGGAGUCACCAAGUCAGCAGCAGAGCCCACAACAUUCUCAGCAGCGUCAUUCUCCACCAUCUAGUCCACAGAAUGAUGUUCAUCAACAAGAGGAAGAAAUUGUCGAAGACGCAGAUCCUAUAAGAGUUCAAAAGCCCUCUUUUAUUUAUAAGCUUUACCGUGCUUUAAAGAGCAUUGGUACUCCAUUGAACUACAUUGAUGAGUUUCUUAAGGACAAGGGAUAUGGGAAUGAGUACAUCUUUUUGGGAAAAAUGGAGAGUUUGAAAAUUGCUCCUACGAGUUUGACAGAAAAAACCCUUGCAAAUAUCCCAAGUGAUCGGCAUGUUGGGGGAUUUAAUCCGAUAGAUGGAAAUGAUGAUGACAGAUUGUACAACCAAUUUCAACCGAAAAUGGGUGUUGCGGCGAAAAUUCGAGGAAAAAUAACAGAGUUGUUUAGAUCGAAGGAACAAAAGGAUUUAUACUCCAAAUUGUUGAAACAUGGGGUGAUAAACCCUAGGAGUGUAGAUUUUGAUUUCCUUGAUGCUGUGAAUGUCAAUUUGAGGGAAAAGUUCAGUUUUCUUCAUCUUGAACAGUUCUGUUCCAACACCACAGAAGCCUAUGCUCAAUUAACUGCAUAUUUCUAUUCAAAUCUUAGUUUCUUGGAUGCGAAUAGAAUCUCUUUCAGUGUCAGAGAUCAGGACUUUGUAGUGGAUGUGGAUAUGUUGGCAGAUGUUAUUGGGGUUGAGAGAGGGAGAUAUCAACCCAUCAGUGUCUCUAUAGCUCGUGCCACAUUGGAACUUGUUAAAGACAGAAUGACAGAGGGAAGGAUUUCCUACUCAAGGAUGCAUGCGUUCAACAUUUUGCUUUACAAGAUUGUGAUCAAUUGCCUCAGAUCGAAAUCAACUUCCAAGACUGAUGUUUCUAACUCAGAGGCAAAGCUGAUGUAUGCCAUCAAUGCUGGGAAAAAGUUUUCUCUUCCUCACACUAUUCUGUUUCACAUGUAUAGAGCAGUGGUGAAGGACAAAGGCCAACUUCCUUAUCUAGGUCUUGUGUCAAAGAUAUUUAGACAUUUGAAUAUUCAGCCUCCACAAAUUCUCUGUGUUGGACCUUGUGACAAAAUGGUGGUAGGACUGAAAAUGGUGUCCAAAAUGCGUCUGAAAGAGCUCGACAAGGCGUUGGAGAAGUUUAAGGAGAAAACCCCUGUCAAAUCUCAUCAAGUCUCUUCAUCAGUGAAAAGGAAAGGGAAGGAAUUCAUGGUUGCUCCAUCUAAGAAGAGAAAAGCUCUCAUUACUGAUGAAGAUGAUGAGGAUGACCUCACAAUUUCUGCUAUAGCAUUAAAGAAGUUGAGUCGUUCUGUUCCUGAAUCAAUGGAACGACAGGAGAAAGAAGCAGAGGAGAGAGAAGAACAGGAGAAAGAAGAAGAAAUAGAAGCAGAGGAGAACGAAGAAAAGGAGAAAGAAGUUGAAGAAAAAGAAAUAGACGAGGAAAGGUUUGAAGAAGAAGAAGAAAGAGAAAAUCAAGAGGAAGGAGAGCAUGAGGAAAAUUCGUCUCCACCUGAAGCCAUGGAAACGGGGGGAGAUGGUGAAAACAGAGGAAUGUCCUCAUAUCCUGUUACCAGUGAAGGAGUCAGUCGCUCUCUAGCAAAUCCAGAAGACAUUCAUGCCUCUCAAUUUCCUGAGGAGGGACAUGGUGCUUCAUCGCAAAAUCUGCGUGAUUAUGCUGAUUUACCAUCAUCUACCUUUACUCCAUCAUAUCGUGCCGAAGCCAGUACGCAGACUGAUAACUUAGCAGAUUUUCGCGGAAUCAUUGAUGUUCUUUUGGAAUUGCGAGGUCAUAUAUAUGCUUUGGAAAGUGAAGUUCAGAACUUGAAGAAUGCUGGUCAAGCUUCUUCCACUUCAUUGUCUGAUCAGAUCCAAGCCCUUACUCUUUAGAUUCAAGCCAAUGCUAAAGGUGAAGAGGUGGAUCAACUGAAGGAAGAAUUGAAAAAGCUGGAAGGCAUCAUCCAGUCCAUGGGAGAUUUCCAGCUUAUUCGCAUUCCCAAGCAAACUUGACUCCAUUCUAUUCCCAUCUCAACUUCUUUUUUAUGAUGACAAAAGGGGGGAGAGAUGCGAGAUUUGAAAUCUUUGAACUUAAACUUGUUGAAUUUUUAGUUUGUUUUGAUGUUUGACUUGUGUGUCUGUGUCUGGAUGAUGAUUAAUUGAACGUGGAUUUGGAUUUGACUGCUGUUUAUAUUAAGUACUAUUGAUAUCUUAUGAAUGGCUUUACUCUCAUGCAAGACUAACCUAUUUUCUGUGGUUGCAGAUUCUAGUGUUAUCAUUAAGCUAUUAAUCUUUAUGAGAUAUCCAUAUUUGCUUGAGUAAUGUUUUGCAGGUCAAAAGUUAUUCAAAUCUGCAGGAAAGUUUUGUCACCAUAAAAAGGAGGAGAUUGUUGGAGAAAUCUUUCUGGAAUAUUUUGAAGCUGACAAAACGUUUCUAUCAGUCUAGUCUGAAGUUUUGCAGACUCGUCUAUUAAAGUCUGAAGACCUCCAGACUAUCAAACUCAAGACUCAAAGUCUAUUCUCAUUGACAGUUUCUAAUCCGUUGAAGAAAGGCUAUCCAGAACUGCUUCAUUAAGGAUUUGGCCUUAUCGUCUGGAGAAGAUCUCUUGGCUGGAUAUGACAUAACGGAUUCCUUUAUUCAAAUCAAGAAUGAUUAAAGAUCCGAUGAUUGACGAAGUAUUCUUGGAAGGUUCUACUUAUGGAAACCAAGAUCCUGAUUGUAUGAGCAAGCAUGAUUGAUGGGCUAUCGACAUGUUUCUUUAAUAGCUCGAAUAAUCUUCCGAAUUGAUUUUGUCCAAUGGGAGGAUUGGAAGAAUUCCUUUGGUAAGUGCCAACGGGAAUGAUGGCACAAAGGAGUAUAAAAGGAAGACAUUCCAGUUGUUCGAGGUGUGCACGAUAGAAGAAUUCCAAAGUCUGAAGCUCUUUGAUUCUUAGUCAAUUCAUUUACUGAGCGAAAUCUUGUACACAAAAGAGAGUCUAUAUUUUGAGAUACCUUGAGGAAGUGUGAUAGAAUAUCUACACUGUGGAAUCAAGAGAAAGCACUGCUGUAACUUCUCUUUUGUUCAUAAUGAAAUCCAGCCAGUGGGCUGUCAGUGCAGAAGAGUGGACGUAGGCUUGAAAUAAGCCGAACCACUAUAAACUUUGUGUUCAAUUUUUUCUUCCCUACUCUCUACUUUACUGUAAUCAUAGUUCAAUUUGUUAACUAAAAAAGAGCUUCCUUUCUGAUUUGUCUAGUAUUGUUUUCAUAUCUCGAGAAAUUAUAUUUACACCUAUUCACCCCCCUCUAGGUGCUUAUACUAGCUAUAUCAGAUAUCUAUAUCCCAACUUGAAGGGGAGUGUUGAGAAAUAUUGUAAGUAAUAAGGGUAAAAUAGUAACUUAGUUAUGAGUAGGGUUAUGUACAUAUGAGCAUAUAUAUAUAUAUAUAUAUAUAUAUAUAUAUAUAUAUAUAUUUGUGACCCUAUUUUAUUUUGAUAAUUAGAAACCAAUCUUCUCAUCACAAUCCGCAUAGUAAGUUUGGGACUAAUUGAACAAUUUGUCAUGAUUUUAGAGUCUCUUUACAUGCUUUUCUAAGAAUACGCAUCUUUCUUUUUUUUUUCAAAAUAUUCUUUACUAAGAAAAAAAAUUAGGUAAUUUUAUCUAGGGAUCUUAAGCAGUUCACAAUCCGCACACUCCCAUCAGAAUGGGGAAAAGAAAGAGCCAGUGAUGGCAAGUAGUUGCUAGAUACCGGGGGGUUUUAUCUUUUUAGAAAUACAAACUUAUUGAAGACAUGCUUUCGUUCUUCAUUACACCCUGAUCGGUUUCUUUUAAUAAUGCUUGGUCCUAGGAUUGUGGCACUUUCACUUCCAACUUGAAUCUCUUUCCUAAAAGAAGUGACAAUCCUAAGACUUUAGCAAUCACAAACUCUCCACCACCACUUGAUUUUCCCACUAUUGUCACUGUUCUUUGCCCAGACUUUGCUUCUACUUUAUUAUAUAACUCAUGCCCUCUCAGUUUCGUCAUCCUAGUGCCUUUUCUCAAUCCUAGAAUGGUCACCUUGUCAAUUACCCACUUCUCAAUGAGAGCAAAUUCCCCAUUAACAACUUCUGAUCUGACAACAACACCAUUCCCUAUUUUCUCACAAUAAAACUUCACCAAAGUCCACUUAUUUCCUUCCCCUCCCAUUUCAACAUCCUCUCCAUCGUCCAAGAACACUUGUCCUAAGCUAUUCCCAUUCUUAUCAACCGCAACUAACAGCUCGAAUGUCGUUCUCCGAGCUACUUCUGUAGUCAUGGCCUCUCCUUGCAUGGCCAAUAUAUUAGCUUCCCUUACAUGCACAUGAGGAUGAUCAGGCGGUGCAUUGAGCAUCACAUUCAUUCCUAAAGCAGUACUCACUGAAUUUGAGUAAUUGAAGAAGUUGAACCAGUUUCCACUCGGGAUAUAAGCAUCCACCGUAUUGGCACCAGAUUGUAGUAUGGGAGUCACCAUCACACCCUUACCAAUUAAGAACUGGGAAUUGAUAAGGUAAGUCAUCUUAUCCUCAGGGAAUGAGAAAAACUGGGGCGGGGCAAUGGGUAUCCCCUUUCUAUAUGCCUCAUACAUCAAGGUAUACAAGUAUGGGAGCAAGCGAUAACGAAGCCCGAGCACCUUCCUAACGGAUGCAGCGACAGAAUCCCAGAGAUAGAGCUCUUGACGAAUAGAGUUAAUGUCAGAGUGAUCUCUUGCAAAGGGAUAAAAGGCCCCUAGCUGCAUCAAUAAAAACUCUAAAAUAAGUGCUUAAAGGUGUACGACAAAAAAACAUGAUUUACACCUCUACUCAUUUGCCACUUGACAUAUUCAACAUAACAUGAAGUACUAGCAAAAAGAUAACUGAACUUCCCCUCACCCUAAAGAAAACUUAUGUAGUUUAUUUCUUUCUUUAAAAGGAAGUAAAAUUCCCUGCCCCGCUAAGAAAAAAGGAAAAGAAAAUUGAUCAACUCCUAUGUCUAAAUACAUAUCAAGAAAGGCUUAAAGCUACUCGGUUGCAGAGCAGCUCAUUCAAUAUAAAUUAAGAAAAGGCAUGGAAGAUGUUUACCUGAAUCCAUCUGUUGCAGAGCUCUUCGGUUGUAUCCCAGAAGAAACCGCAUAUAUCAGCUCCUACCAUUGGAAUUCCGAAGAGCCCAAAAUUUAAAAUUGCAGGAACUGAGUAAGCCAAGUCAUCCCAUGUGGCGGCAUUGUCUCCAGUCCAGUGUGCAGUGUGUUUGCCAGAGCUUAGAAAAGUCGAUCUCGAGAGAAUGAAUGGCCUUUUACCAGUAACAUUGACUAAGGCCUUGUUUGUUGCUUUAGCUUCCAAGAGUCCAUAGAGGUUAUGAGCAUUGUAUUCUGAAAUAUUUCCAAAAUGAAGUGACGUUGCAGGGGUAGUUUUGUUGUUGAUAGGCUGAUGAACUCCUGCAUUGUUGAUUUUGUAGGGAGGAUUGUCAAGAGUGGAAGGAAGAGGUGGAGGAUCAUUGAAGUAAGUUGGACAACUCGUUCAUGUCGAUCCAUAGGCCAUCAAAUGGAAGAACAUCGUGAAACCUCUUUAUCUCCCCACCCCAAUAACUCUCACUAGAUGGGUGAAGGAAGUCAGGGAAGUACACUAGCCCUGGCCAAACACGACCUAAAUAUGGCACUCCCUCACGCUUGAUGAAGAUGUCGGCUUGCAUCCCCCUGAUGUAGGUCCCAUAUGUCUUGUUCACACUAAUGCCUGUUAAAGAUCACCCAUUCAAGAGAAAAGGAAAGUAUUAUUAAGAUGGCAAUUUGCAAGAAAUAAAAAAGACCAAGUUUCGACCACAAGCAUUUCGACACCAGCAUACCUGGAUCAAGUAUCAGGACAUACUUUUGACCGUUCUCGUGAAGGCUGCUGACAAAUUCUUUCAUCUUUUCCACUGGAAAAUUGAUAGGGUCAAGAGUGAAGUCCUUGUUUGCAUCCAUAUGAUCAAUGUCGGUCCACAUAACUUCUAGUGGAAUAUUAGCUUUUGCAUAACCAGCUACCACGCCCUCCAAGUCUGGGACAUUCUUGUAACCCCACCGGCAUUGAUGAAAUCCUUGAAAGUAAAUUAAUGAUACUUCAUCAAUAGAACUAACAUUUCAAACUAGUCAAGUAACACAUGCAGAAGAAGCCAUCUACCGUGAAUCAAACUUUACAACUGAUCUACGCCUAGCAAUAUAUACAAGUAAAGCGACCACAUUUCUUGAACAUCAGUGAGCACUGUGGUAGGAUCAGCUGGGGUUCGGGAAACAGUGGUUUUCAAUGGAUAAUAACACACCUUCAGAUUUGUUCCCUAUUGAGCAUAACAUGCAAAGUCUGACUAGUGUCAUCUCCGUGAGAAAAUUAAAAAAAAAAAAAAACUUAUAAAGCAAGUCAAUGGCAAUAAACUCUUCAAUUCCAUCUUCAUUAUGCUAGAUACUACCAAAAUAAGCUACAGAAGUCAAUGAGCAAUAGUGGAAUCAAAUUCAUCAAAAUGUAAGCAGCAACAAUUGAAAGAAACUCAUCAAAACCAGAUACCGAAGGACCAGUAUGGCAUCGAGGUCGGCCGGCCAAUGAGCUCGGUGUACUACUCCAUGACCACCUUCGGUGAUGGCCCGGGGACAAAUCCAACACCCCAUCGAUCACCUUGUAAGUGAUCCUAUCGCCAGUGUACACCACAUCCAUGCCAUUGCUGUUCAGCAACAGAACGCCAUGGCUCGUGCCUGCCCCAACUCCUCCACCGCCGCCCUCGCUGCUGCCAACGGACGACCUGACGUCCAUGUAAAGCGGAUGCGGCCCGUACAGGUUGACAUCGAGGUACGCACUACGGAUGUCAGCGUUCCAGAGAGUAAGGGUUUGGUUGGGCAGGAGCCGGAGCGACGGCUUCGUGUGCUCUCCGAUCCCGUACAGGGAGGAGCGGCCGGGAGGGAGGGAGGAGGAGAGCUGGAGGUAUUGGCCCUUGAAGACGAGGAAGGCGGAGGGGUCGGAGGUGGAGGUUUCGAAGAGGACGUCGCCGGAGGAGCGGCGGGAGACGGCAAAGGAGAAGGGGGUGGUGUUGCGGAGGUCGAAGACGAGGUCGGAGGAGGCGGCGGAGAGGCAGCGGUGGGAGCCGGAGGGGCACGGCGGCGGCCGACUUGGGGUUCGGCGGGGAGGGGAUGGAGGUCGACGAGGGAUGAGGUCGUCGGGGACUUCCCAUCGGCGGCGCUCAGCGUCUGUGAUUCGGACCCGAAGACGACCGCUCGCUUCGAAGCUGGAAGGAGAACCGUGAUGACGUCAGCAAAAAUUACCCAUUAAAAUAUACUUUAUUAUUUAUCUUGCAAAUAUAAUAUAUAUAUAUAUAUAUAUAUAUAUAUAUAUAUAAACUAACAUUUUAAUUAAUCUUGCAGGUGUUUCAAUAUCGAAGUUUGAUUAGUUUCUUUCCAGCAACAACCUUCUUAGGAUAAUUUGAAAAAUCGAAAUAUUUUUUUUCCUUUUUUUACGUAUAUUUAUACUAUGAAUUUUUAUUGUGUAACAAUAGAAUGAUUUCAAAUUGAUACAUAUAUAUAUAUAACUAACAAAUUUUUUUUUUUUGCGCAUAUAUGUCGAUUGUAAAAAUGAAUCUAGCAAAAAUACUUAAAACAUUGCUAAAAUAAGACCUGGCAACAAGGCGGAGGCUCUCAACGUCAGGCCCGUAGACGGUGGUUGCCUUGAUGAGGCGGAGCUUGGCGGUCAACGCCGUUCCCGACGUGUUGAGGGUCACGGACCCGACUGUGUGUCCAUACCCGAUGACGCCGGGCGUCCCCUCGCCUUCUCCGACCGACGCGCGGACUUCUGACGUAGAUGACAGCAGGUACAAGAAGAUAGCGAUGAUGGUCUCUGCUACUCCGCAUGUUUUCAGCUAGAGAGAGAGAGAGAGAGAGAGAGAGAGAGAGUGGGAGGAGCUUCGAUUUUCAUCUGCCGCCCGUGGUGGACUUCGCACGGUUUGUCUGCCAUUUCCGUCCACAUCAGGGUAACUUUCUUUACGGGGGUGGAUUGCGGGGCCCGCGAGAUUGGGGGAAUUCCAAUUUGGCGGGGCGGGCUCACGCGCUUCUCACGUGCUCGUCGGAGGGAAACUCUUGCCCGCGCUCGUGUACUGGUCGAGCAAGGCUUAAUAUUUCGAGUUUUGUAAUGUCAAACAUGAUGCAUGCAUGUUUAUACAUUACGAAUUAUAAAUUAUGAAAUUUCUUGUGAUCUUGAUUACAGGAAAAUCUUCGCUAAAAGUACAAAGUAAUUGUACUUUUUUCAAUUAAGAUUUAGUUAAAGAAUGACUUAAGGAGAAAUCAUGUGGAAGCUUAAUGCUCUUUUGUCUUAAGAUUUAACAUGAUGAGUCCUAUAUGAAAUUUAUGUAAAGCGAUUCAUUAUCGAUCACAAUAAUUUGAUGAAAAAUGUGGUUACUCACGCCACUAGUGACCUUUUUAUCUCAAGUCGGGUUGUGUAGGAAUGCGAAGGGAUGAUCCUUCGCUAGCCCUAUGAUUAGACACACGAUCAAUGAGGCGACUGGUCUAUGUUUACACCUAAAUUUUUUGCCCAAAAAACUCUCGUGCAUUUCAUGAAAAUUAAAGAUCAAAUCUGUCGACAAUGACAUAAUUUGACACAUAAUCAUGAAUAUUUUUAUUGCACGGUCUUGCAUUCUUAUGCUAGGCUACAUUUUUCCGCAUUUAAUCUUUAAGGACCCCUUUAAUAACAUUGUUUUUUUUUUUUGUCAACCAACUUGAUGUCACUUGUUCUGGAUCUUUCGUGGAGGAUGAAAAUUUGAAAAAUAUUUUUCCUAAAACUGACUGCUUGUACCGACUACAAAAAUGAAUCAACGAUAUGUAUUUUUAUUGUUUACGAAAAUACUUAGAUAUAAUUUUUUUAUCAAUAAUAAAAACAUUUUUCAUUGACGAAUUAUUUCAAGCAAUAUAAGAAAUUAUUUUUUGAAAUAUAUUUUCCCAACCAUUCGUUUUCCAUGAAAUAAAUGAAGCUUUAAUCUUUGGGAAAAUUAUAAAUGAGGAUCUAAAGUGCCAUCACUUUCUCACAAAGAGUUUGAAGUGCCAUCACUUUCUUAUGUCAAAUGAGAGCCCGGAGCGGUCAUGAUUGUUUUUAAAUAAAGGCUUGACUAUAGCUAAAUGUUUUGGCCGACCAAGGGCAUUUUUCCUCUAAAGACAAUGUUAAUUUUAAUUCUUUUUUUUUUCUUUCUGAUGAGGGCCUAAUGACUCUCACUAGCCACUAAGCAAGGGCUACAACCCUCACAUGUUGCGAGCGAUAGCAAGGCUAUCCCUUGCCUAGCCCUCUCCAAGCAUCACCGGUAGUCAGCCAUUGCUUGAGAUCGAUCACCAAUGAAGAAGAAAGAAAACAAUCAGAAAAAGGGGAAAAGAAGAAAAUUAAAAAAAAAUUAAAAAAAAGGUAAAGAAUUAAAAGAAGGCUCUUCUUUGAAAUUAACAUAGCUAUUCCAGGCUCUUAUUUGAAACAUGAUCCACUUCAUAUCUUUAUUUGAAGAAAUAAGUGCACUUUGAACUAUUAUUUGAAACAAGGUCCACUUCAAGCUCUUAGUUAAAAUUUUCCUUAAUCUUUUGUCAAUAGAUGUAUAAUUAAGAAAGUCUUGUGAUUUUUAACGCGCGAGAUUUAUACUCAAUUAGGCAUUUUUUCCAUAAGGUUAAGACUUUAUUUUUCACCUAAAUUUAGAAAAAAAAAGAAUAAAUAAAUGUCAAUUUUCUAAUUGCUCCCUCAUGCAGAGUUUACUGAUUCAUGAUGCAUUAAGGUGCCUCUCACACUUCAUGAUAUGGUUAGUUUAGUUUUCUUACUAGUUUUUUUUUUUUUUUUUUGCAUCUCAUUUAGAAUUUGUAUCGACUGAUACGAAAAUUACAAUUAAAGCUGAGAAGAAGAAAAGAACAAGCAAAUUUACAUGGAAAUCCUUCCAGGAAAAACUAUGGAAAGUGGAAAAGCAAAAUCCAUUAUAAAAUUUCAAGAAUUACAAACAAUGGCUCAAAAACCUAAGACUUUUUCUGUCUCAGUUUCUUAAUCUAAUAAUUCGAGGAAAAAAAUAUUUGCAUUGCUCUCAAGCCCUAACAUUGGCUCAAGCCUAUAGAUAAUUCAAGACAUAUUCAAUAAAUUUCCACCUUGGCUUAAAUUCUACAUAAGCAAUGAAUGAUCUUCUCCUUUCUCUAGAGUAAAACUCAGGUAUAACAAACAUUAAAAAAAUCCAAAUAAUAAUUGAAUUUGGCUAUAGGCAAGGGCUUUGUCAACAUAUCAAGUGGAUUAUUUUUUGUACCAAUCUUCAAUACCUUGAUAUAGCCGUCAAUAAGAAUGUCUUGGAUAAAGUGAUACCACACAUUAAUGUGCUAUGUCCUCUCAUGAUACCAUUGAUCUUUAGCAAGAUGUCUGACCAUCACUAUGGAAACAGUCACACCAUGAUCCACAUCGUGCUCUCCAGAUAAGCCUAUUAACCAUAUAUCAUCUUUAACGGCCUCUAUAAUAGCCAUAUACUUUGCCUCUGUAGUAGACAAAGCAAUCAUAUGCUAUAAAGUAAAUUUCCAACAGACUACACAACCUCCGAUAGUAAAGAUGUACCCAAUCAAAGAUCUCUUGUCAAUGCCACCAGUAUAAUCGAAAUCAACAUAUCUUGUAAGAGUGUCACUAGUUUUCUCAAAAUCUAAACUAAAAUCAAAAUUACCCUUCAACUACGUCAAAAUCCACUUCAUAGCUUGCCCAUAAAUUUUGCCUAUGUAUGUUUAAUAUCUAAUUACCUCACUGACAACAUGUGAAAUGUCAAGUCGAGGACAAAUCAUAUCAUAUAUAAAACUACAAACUACAUAGAGUAUGGAAUAUGUGACAUAUUUUAUAUCCUCAUUUAUUUGUGGACAUAAAUUAGCCAAUAAUCUAAAAUGAGGAGCAAGUGGAGUACUUACUAGUUUGAAUAAUGUAGAAGAUUGCAAAUUGAACCUCCAUUGAUCAAAUUGAAUACUAGUCUAGAAUAGGUCAAGCGUAAUUGGGUCAAUUAGGGAAUUUCGUAUUUGAAUUUGAAACUGUAUGCUCACUAAUUUGGUCAAAUUAAACUAAAUGAUUGUGGUUUUGUCAAAGAUUAUAUUGGAGUUGGAUAGUGUUAAAUCAACUGUAUUCGGUUUUGGCUAAUUUGCACCUCGCGUGCAUUGGCCUCCCUCAACUUGCGACACUCAUCUUCAUCUUUUCCUUGAAGUCUCGGUAGCCGAAGUUCCUCGAUUCGGCCAUCGGAAACUCUUUAAUCAAUUGAUUUCAUUUAAUUGCUCAGUUAAUUUCAUUGAGUUUAUUUCUCAUACCAUCCUUUACUUCAUUGAUUCAUAGCGUGGCAGGACUAUUUUUGGCUGAUUUGUGAAAUUUAUUGAGGAGAUACAACGGCCAAUCAGCUCGAUCGAGCAUUGCAAAGUUAAAUAACAAGGUUAGUCUCUAUUGAACUUAGUUUAAUGAUGAUGGAGGAUGGAUGUUUAUGGCCAAUUGCAUAUGUUAAGUUAAUGAUGGUUAAUGAUGUUGCUGAGAUGUUGAAUAUAGACUUAGAAUGAUGCAUGUUCUGCAAAUCAUGUGUAGAAAUUGGUAAGUGAUUGUUUGAUGAUAGGUUGUUACAUGAUAUUGUAUUCUAGAAAUUCGAAGUUUAGUGACUCAAUGGGCUUAAUUGACUAAAUUGACCAGGUAGACUUCAAAAUAUGGAAAAAUGACUAACUAGAGAAAUGAUCCUGACUUUCUAAGCUUUGAUUUAAUAGGUCGUAUCUCAAAAUUGAAGAUUUUUUUUAUAAUUAUUUUGUUUUUUGAAAGAAAGAUGUCAUUCAUAUAUUGGAAUAACACUUAAGAAGUACAUAUGAGGUUUGCAAGCCUAGUAGAUUUCAAAUAAUUGUAGAAUAAAGUAAAAGCCAGAAAACAAAUAACAAGGCACAAUCUGCAUUGGAAGCACACUCUCAUCCCUUAAGAAUAGAUCUGCUAUUGUAAAUGUUUGGCAACUAAUCACCAGGUUCAAUGAUGAGCAUAUAUCGAGAUCUCCCACUCCAUUUGCAACGACUUACGGUGUGUGUCUAGGUUCAACGUCCUUAUCAGCAUCGUCGUGAAGAGACAUCGACAUCAAAAUGUUAAAAGAACACAAAUCAAAUAUAGACUACCGAUUCAGGUACUACUUCUUACCUAUGGUAGACUAUCGGAUGGGAACUGUGCCUUCUGCUCCUGUCGCCGAGAUUCAAUUGAUCACUUGUUUUUUGGAUGCCCCAUUCCUGCUGCCUUAGCCACUUUUUGGGCCACAAGAUUUAAUUAUGCUUGACGGAAUAAAUCUUGGAAGGAAAACUUGCUUGGGCAAUCAAAUCUCUCUUAGGACCCUCCUUCCGCUCUUCUCUUGCUCGCUUUGCAUUUGUUGCUUUAUGCAACAUCACUUGGAAGGAGCAUAACAAUAUACCGUUCCGGGGUAGACCUCCCUCCCUUUUGGCCAUGAAAAGAUGCCUUGAAUAGGUUAUAAAGGACAAAGCCUUGUCCUUCCAUCAAGUCCCUCCCACUACGGCUAAUAGGAGAUUAUUGCAAAGCUGGUUGCUCAACCCCUCCAUUUUGGUGAGCCGAUGGAUUUUGCCCUCCUCUUGGCUUUCGAGAUGGCCCCUUACCAACCUUAGAGUUGUGCUUGGUUUCUUUUGUUGGUAGUGCUUUCUCUUUGAUGUUUGUGUUGGUUUAGGCUUGCUGGUUCUGUGCCGUUGUUUGGCCUUUUUCCUUCCCUUGCCCUUGGCUUGGUUUCUUUUACCUUGGUCCUCUUUCACUCACUCAGACUUGUUGUCUGCGUGAGUGCAAGUUUCUGGGACCGAGUUUUUGCUAUAUAGCUCCUUUUGUUUAAAGUCAAUAUAUUUCUUACCAUCACCAAUAUAUAUAUAUAUAUAUGUAUAUAUAUAUAUAUAUGUAUAUAUAUAUAUAUAUGUAUAUAUAUAUAUAUGUAUAUAUAUAUAUAUGUAUAUAUAUAUAUAUGUAUAUAUAUAUAUAUAUGUAUAUAUAUAUAUAUAUAUAUAUAUAUAUAUAUGUAAGUGACUCUUAGAUCUAUAUCUAGAUCUAGUUCGAGAGAGUAGAACCCCAAAACUUGACCUAAAUCUAAAUCGGGAGAGAAUAGUGACCUAGUCUUAGAGAGGUUAUAGAUGGGGUCAAUGGUUCGAUUCUAUUUGAAUAUUUUGGAAAACCGAACCAAACUGUUUGCACGUGCAUAAAAUUUGAACCAAAUUGCGUCCCGAACCAAAAGUAACUCGAAUCGAAGACUGGCUCGGUANNNNNNNNNNNNNNNNNNNNNNNNNNNNNNNNNNNNNNNNNNNNNNNNNNNNNNNNNNNNNNNNNNNNNNNNNNNNNNNNNNNNNNNNNNNNNNNNNNNNNNNNNNNNNNNNNNNNNNNNNNNNNNNNNNNNNNNNNNNNNNNNNNNNNNNNNNNNNNNNNNNNNNNNNNNNNNNNNNNNNNNNNNNNNNNNNNNNNNNNNNNNNNNNNNNNNNNNNNNNNNNNNNNNNNNNNNNNNNNNNNNNNNNNNNNNNNNNNNNNNNNNNNNNNNNNNNNNNNNNNNNNNNNNNNNNNNNNNNNNNNNNNNNNNNNNNNNNNNNNNNNNNNNNNNNNNNNNNNNNNNNNNNNNNNNNNNNNNNNNNNNNNNNNNNNNNNNNNNNNNNNNNNNNNNNNNNNNNNNNNNNNNNNNNNNNNNNNNNNNNNNNNNNNNNNNNNNNNNNNNNNNNNNNNNNNNNNNNNNNNNNNNNNNNNNNNNNNNNNNNNNNNNNNNNNNNNNNNNNNNNNNNNNNNNNNNNNNNNNNNNNNNNNNNNNNNNNNNNNNNNNNNNNNNNNNNNNNNNNNNNNNNNNNNNNNNNNNNNNNNNNNNNNNNNNNNNNNNNNNNNNNNNNNNNNNNNNNNNNNNNNNNNNNNNNNNNNNNNNNNNNNNNNNNNNNNNNNNNNNNNNNNNNNNNNNNNNNNNNNNNNNNNNNNNNNNNNNNNNNNNNNNNNNNNNNNNNNNNNNNNNNNNNNNNNNNNNNNNNNNNNNNNNNNNNNNNNNNNNNNNNNNNNNNNNNNNNNNNNNNNNNNNNNNNNNNNNNNNNNNNNNNNNNNNNNNNNNNNNNNNNNNNNNNNNNNNNNNNNNNNNNNNNNNNNNNNNNNNNNNNNNNNNNNNNNNNNNNNNNNNNNNNNNNNNNNNNNNNNNNNNNNNNNNNNNNNNNNNNNNNNNNNNNNNNNNNNNNNNNNNNNNNNNNNNNNNNNNNNNNNNNNNNNNNNNNNNNNNNNNNNNNNNNNNNNNNNNNNNNNNNNNNNNNNNNNNNNNNNNNNNNNNNNNNNNNNNNNNNNNNNNNNNNNNNNNNNNNNNNNNNNNNNNNNNNNNNNNNNNNNNNNNNNNNNNNNNNNNNNNNNNNNNNNNNNNNNNNNNNNNNNNNNNNNNNNNNNNNNNNNNNNNNNNNNNNNNNNNNNNNNNNNNNNNNNNNNNNNNNNNNNNNNNNNNNNNNNNNNNNNNNNNNNNNNNNNNNNNNNNNNNNNNNNNNNNNNNNNNNNNNNNNNNNNNNNNNNNNNNNNNNNNNNNNNNNNNNNNNNNNNNNNNNNNNNNNNNNNNNNNNNNNNNNNNNNNNNNNNNNNNNNNNNNNNNNNNNNNNNNNNNNNNNNNNNNNNNNNNNNNNNNNNNNNNNNNNNNNNNNNNNNNNNNNNNNNNNNNNNNNNNNNNNNNNNNNNNNNNNNNNNNNNNNNNNNNNNNNNNNNNNNNNNNNNNNNNNNNNNNNNNNNNNNNNNNNNNNNNNNNNNNNNNNNNNNNNNNNNNNNNNNNNNNNNNNNNNNNNNNNNNNNNNNNNNNNNNNNNNNNNNNNNNNNNNNNNNNNNNNNNNNNNNNNNNNNNNNNNNNNNNNNNNNNNNNNNNNNNNNNNNNNNNNNNNNNNNNNNNNNNNNNNNNNNNNNNNNNNNNNNNNNNNNNNNNNNNNNNNNNNNNNNNNNNNNNNNNNNNNNNNNNNNGGUCCCGGAAUAAUUGCACGAUGGCAGUUGAUUAAACAAAUGGUGGAACUAGUCCCUACAUUCGUACAAGAUCAGUUGCAGAAAUUUAUUUACACAUACAAACACCCAAAACAAAUUGGGAGAGAAGAAAGACAAAGAGCUUUAAAAGAGGGAACAAGGAGAGAGAGAGAGGGUCCUUUCUCUCUCAGAGUGACGGCAUUGUAAAGAGGCGGCGACUUCAAGGGAAAUGAGAUAAAAACCCCAACUUGUUUAAUUUGAGGCUGCAUUUGUUAGUCGGAAUAAAAUUCGGGAUAUGAUAUGAUUUAUCCUAUCUUACGUUUGGUGCUCACUCAAGACAAGAUAGAGUCGAAUAUAAUGGGGAAUAUAGGUAGGAUAAAAUUAUCCCAUAGGAAAGGUGAGAUAAAUGUGGAUAUGAUUUAUAAUGUCCAUAAUAAGAAAGUUAUUUUUCUCAAAUAGCAAACUUAUUAAAUUAACAAAAUUGAAAUUGUAUUUCAAUAUAAAUAAAAUUUGAAUUAUAAUUUAAGAAAUUAAAAAUAAAAAAGUAGAAAUUUAUUUUUAAUUAAUCUUAUUUUAAUUUAUAUAUUCAACUUUAAUUCUAUCUUAUAAUAAACAAUCAAUCUAUAAAUUAAAUAUUUAUAUUUAUUAUAUAUUUUAGGUAUGUUAGUACAGUAUACUAUUUGAUAAAAUUUUAUUAAAUAAUGAUGAAAGAGGAAAAAAGAAAUAAUAUAAAAAAAGAGGAAAAAUAAAAUAAAAAUAAAUUAAUGAAUUGUGUUAUGAGAGAUUUUUUCACUAUCUCCAUUUAUGAACAUUUAGGUUCAUUUGUAAUUAUAUGCCAUUUAUAUAAAAAAAAAUGUAUAUGAUAUGAUGUGAAUAUAUCUGACUUUAAUACUGCGACUCACCAAACAAUUGACACAAUAUAAAAAAAUCCCAAGCUUUCAUAUCCUAUCAUAUCCAGUCCUAUCCCGAUUAGAAAUCUGGAUGACCAAACGUAGCCUGAUAGGUUGAGCUAAUUCAUGUGUACACAUUGAAGAUUGUUUGCUAUGUCAUAUAGGUCACAAAAUCUGAGGCUAGAAACUAUGUUAAGUGAUUCCAUUUUCAUGUUCCCUGAUUUUUCCGAUUUUCUACAUUUAAUUUGGAAAAGUUUACUUCGUGAAAGUCAUAGCCAGAAAUUUGAGCUUUUCAUUGAUAUUAUAUUCGUCUCGUUUGGUCAGCCAAAUAUCUGAUCAAUGUGCUAGUUAAAUUCCGCACUCAGAUUUGGAAAAACUGUUUCUAGGAUAAACAACGAGCUUUGCAAUUUUGACGUAUUUGAGGUCUUUUCUUUUACAAAAACUUAAGACCCAAAAGUUGUUCAUUAGGGUCUUACUUAGUAAGUAGGAAAAUUUCAGACUUUGAUUGUAUUUCUAGAAUGUCUUGUGGAGCAAAAUCCCAAAAUAAGACAGUUCUGUUUUCAAAAUGUUUUGCAAAUGAGUCCCUGCGCUUAAUUUGAAAACUAACACAAGUCCGUGGUCUUUUUGUGAAAGCUCAAAAUAAGAAUGUUGUAAAGGACAUUUAGAGCUACCUAUCUGUAAAAUUUGGAGGGAUUUCGAAAUUUUCAGAUAUUCUUCCUGAAUUUUCUUACGGAUAAAAGCCGAGUCAAAUGUGGACUGCUGGGUCAUUUUCCUCAAUUUCGGGUUUUCUAGAUCAGAAUUGGGUCAAGUGAUCUUCAUGUACUUUGAACUGCACACCCUCAGCUUUCUAUUGAUGCCCGAAUCAUUUCAACAGGACCUCGUUUGGUAUGUUAACUGAGUCAAGACAUAAUUAAUCUGAAUUUAGGAUAAACCUGAAUAAGUGACCCUCAUGAUUCACUUCCUUUUGUGAUUGAUUGUAAAUCAAAGUCAAAUGACCUGAAUGCAUACCGAAUUUGAUGCUUAUGCAUGUGUUUGCUAGAUAAAUGGAUAGGUCCGGUGCAUGCUCAACGGGUAGCCUAUUGUGAAAUGAUUAGAACAUAAUCUAAAAGUUAGUUGAUAUUGACCAUCAUUAUGUGAAUGCAAAUGGUGGCCAAUCAUCAUUAACAAGUAAUCAAUGAACCUUAGUCAAUUAGGAGACUAAGUGGUUGAAAUGUGUGAAAAGCUAAGGCCAAUUUUGAGGCCAUGAACCAUAUCUAACAAAUUAAAAUUUCAAGGACGACAUUGCACAUCGAACAUAAAUUAUAAGAGAAAUUUUUUUCUAUGGAUCUUAACCAGUUCAGAAGCAGCACAAUAUAGGGAAAACAAAGAGCCAAUGAUGGAAAGGAAGUGGCUUGAUACUAGUGUGCUUUUUCCUCUUAGAAACACACUAACUUAUUGGAGACAUGCUGCUUUCCUCUACUACACCUGACUGGCGCAAUUUCACUUCCAACUUAAAUGUCUUUCCCAAUGGAAGUGACAAUCCUGAGACUUCAACAAUCACAAACUCUUGACCAUUACUCGAUUUUUCCACUGUUUUCAUUGUUUUCUGUUUGGACGUUGCUUCUACAUCAUUGGAUAACUCAUGCCCCCUUGGUCUUGCCAUUCUAGUUCCUUCUCUGAAUCCUAGAAUUGUCACCUUAUCAAUUGCCCACUUCUCAAUAAGAGCAAAUUCCCCAUUAAUAAUUUCUGAUUUAACAACAACAUUUCCUAUUUUCUCACAAUCAAACUUCACCAAAGCCCACUUAUUUCCUUCCCCUCCCAUUUCAACUUCCUCUCUGUCGUCCAAGAACAAUUGUCCUGCGCUAUUCCCAUUCCCAUCAACCAAAACUAAGAGCUCAAAUGGCAUUCUUCGAGCAGCUUCUGUAGUCAUGGCCUCUCCUUGUAGGGCCAAUAUAUUACCUUCCCUUACAUGAAGAUGAGGAUGAUCAGGCAGUGCAUCAAGUAUCAUAUUCAUUCCUAAAGCUGUACUCACUUAAUUUGAGUAAUUGAAGAUAUCAAACCAAUUUCCACUUGGAAAAUAAGCAUCCAUAGUUUGGGUGCCUGAUUUAAGUAUAGGAGUCACCAUCAGACCCUUACCAAUUAAGAACUGGGAGUUGAUAUCAUAAGUCAUCGUACCCUCAGGGAAUGAGAAAAAGUCUUGCAAAGGGAUAAAAGGCCCCAAGCUGCAUCAGUGAAAGCUCCAAAAUAAAUGCGUAAAUAUGUAUGAUAGAAAAACAUGAUUUACACCUCUAUUCAGUCUCUACUUUAUAUUCUUCCGACUAGCAGAUAUUUGACAUAUAUAACAUAGCAUGAAGUAUAAGCACAAAAGAUACCCGAACUUCCCCACACCGUAAAGAACAUUUGUGUAGUUUAUUUUCUAUCUUCAAAAGGAGGUAAAAUCCACCGCAUAUAUCAGCUCCUAAAAUUGGAAUUCCAAAGAGCCCAUAAUUUAAAAUUGAAGGAAUUGAGUAAGCCAAGUCAUCCCAUGUGGCGGCAUUGUCCCUACUGCAGUGUGUAGUGUGCCUACCUGAGCUCACAAAAGUUGAGGGAUAAGUAUACUAUCGGUGUCAAAAGUUGUGUACGGCGCUCACUUUAGUGCCAAAAGUUUUUGUCAGAUCACUUAAGUGCCAAAAAUUCUGAAAAAUGAUCAUUUCAGUGCCAACGCCAAUGAAAUUGACCGGAAAUCUGAUGUGGCACUUUUUUAUUAAUUUUGAAGUCGACGUGGCUCGUCGGAGAGUUGAGUUAGCAUCCAAACACCAAAACGAUGCCGUUUGACAUCUUUCCCCAAACUCAGAAACCCUAAUCCCCAAAUUGAGAGAGAGAGAGAGAGAAGGCUCGUCUUCAUUUUCUUCUUCCUCGAAGAUCCACACCAGCAACAACACUAGCAUUGCACCAGCAGCAGCACCGGUAGCGCACCAAUAGCAGCACUAGCAGCACACCCAGCAGCGACACCAGCAGCAGUAGCGCACCAACAGCACCUUCAACCCAUCUUCUUCUUCCUCCUCCUUUGCCCUCACCUCCGAUUUUUCCUGCCACUUAUUACUUGAGCAACAAUCUCAGUCUCUUCUUGCUCACUUGGUCGAGCAACUACAAUUGUGGCUGAGCGUUGGCGGGCAAACGAUGGUGGUCAAGUGAUGAAAACCCUAAUUUCAAUCCCCAUGUGAGUUAAACGGCGUCAUUUCCGUGAGGGUGUCCACGUAUAACGGCAAAACAACGUCAUUUCUUGAGAAGGAUGGAAAACGACGUUGUUUCAAAGCCAUUGCAAUUUUAUUUUUUUAAAUAUAAAAGCCACGUAAUUAAUCUGGCUGGAAUCUCUCGCCGGUGGCACCAACGUGAUCGUUUUUCCUCCAAUUUGGUACUUAAGUGAUCCGACGGAAACUUUUGGCACCAAAGUGAGCGCCGCACACAAGUUUUGGCACUGAUAGUGUACUUAUCCCCAAAAGUUGAUCUCGAGAGAAUGAAUGGCCUUUUACUAGUAACAUUGACUAAGGCCUUGUUUGUUGCUUUGGCCUCCAGAAGUCCAUAGAGGUUAUGAGCAUUGUAAUCUGAAAUAUUGCCAAAAUGAUAUGAUGUUGUAGGAGUAGUAUUGUUGUUGAUUGGUCGAUGAACUCCUAAAUUGUCGAUUUUGUAGGGAGGAUUGUCAAGAGUUGAGGAAGAGGCGGAGAAGUUAUGAAGUUGGACAACUCAUUCAUUUCGAUCCAUAGGCCAUCAAAAGGAAGGACAUCAUGAAAAUUCUUUAUCUCACUACCCCAGUAAAUCUCACUAGAUGGGUGAAGGAUGUCAGGGAAGUACACUGGCCCUGGCCAAACAAUACCUACACUCCCUCACGUUUGAUGAAGAUGUCGGUUGGCAUCCCCCUGAUGUAGGUCUCAUAUGUCUCGUUCAAGCUAAUGCCCGGGAAAGAUCACCAAUUCAAAAGAAAAGGAAAGUAGUAUUAUGAUGGCAAUUUAGAAAGAAAAUAAAAGAUAAAGUUUCAAGGACACACAUUUCUGCACUAGUGUACCUGGAUCAAGUAUGAGGACAUAUUUUUUACCGUUCUUGUGAAGGCUACUGACAAAUUCUUUCAUCUUUUCCACUGGAAAAUUGAUGAGGUCAAGAGUGAAGUCCUUCUUGUUAGGGAAAUCCCUUAUGAUGUCGUGAAGAUGACAAAAUAAAUCAAAUGCUACUAACGUGUUUAAUGGUUGAGUAACAGACUAUGCAGAUGAUAGAACAUGAAAAUGAUAUUAUCGAAGUCUAUACUUGGAAAAACCAGAAGAUAGACUCUAUGUUAAAGCUGAACUUAUUUAGAUUGUGUCCAAACCUUAAAGCUAAAUAUGUUCAGAAGUAGAAUAUGUUCAUACUUACGUCCAGAUUGUAAAGUCUACUUCAGACAGAACGAGACAUAAGUCCAGAAUGUGACAAUGUCUAGAACAAGACACAAGUUCAAAAAAUCGUAAAUUCAGAAUGAAACAACUUGACAGAAUGUAAUACUAUCCCCAAACAUGUAACAAUUAGUGAUCAAAUUUGGAUUUUACAUUAAGAUAGAUUUGAUUGACUAUUGGAUCAUAAAGACAAGAACUGUUUAUAUGAAGAAACUCUACUUAUGGAAAUCAAGAUUCUGUUUGUAUGGGCGAUCAUAAUCAACUUGGGAUUCUAUUUCUGUCACUCAACGGUUACUAAAUCUUCUUGAUACAGAUCUGCCCAAUGGGUAUAUUGGAAGACGAUCCUCUAGAUAUUGUCCAACGGCUAGUUUGGAAGUGGAUGGGUAUUUAAGGAGAAUGAGGAUCGAUGAGCAAGUAAGAGAUGAAGCAUAGAAUUUAUAAUUCCAAAGUCUAAGCAAACUUCGAUUAUACACUUAUCUCUCGUGAGCUUAAACGUUUGUGAUCGUGAGAUAAAUACCAAAAAGUGACUUAGUAAGAUAGUGUGAUCUACUUUGCACUCAAAGUUGUAAUCUCGUGUUGAUCACAUAAUGAAAUUCAGCCAGAAGGCUGUUAGCAUGAGAGAGUGGACGUAGGCUUGAUUUAAGCUGAACCGCUAUAAAUUCCGUGUGCAACAUUCUCUUAUCUUAACUCUUCAUAUUUAAGUCUGUUGCAUAUUUACAAGUUAUUUUAGAAGUUUGUUCAAUUGCAUAACAGAUUCUGAACAUCUACGAGAAGUCUAGUGGCUCGUUUAGUUAGACUCUAAUCCUUAUUCAGACUUUGCUCGCAAUUUGUUUUAUUCUGUAUUUAUUUGUCAAGAUUUCUUUUAAAUACCUAUUCACCCCCCUCUAGGUGUUUGUACUAGCACUUUCAAUUGGUAUCAGAGACGAGUGCUUGUUUUGUUGAAGUGUUUUUACUUAUGAGCUAAAGAUCUUGUAUGGCUAGUAUCUUGGCACCAGGGCUGAUUGAAAGACAGAGCAACACCAGGCCACCAUAUUUCGAUGGAAAUGAAUACAACGUUUGGAAAAACAAAAUGAAGGCACUCCUAAUAUCUAGAGAUCCUUUGCAAUGGGAUGUUGUGGAAAAUGGAAUCAAUCCCACUCCUGCAUCUACAUCAAAUAAAAAUGGCAAAGACAAAAAUACCAAACCCUCUGCUCCUAUGUCUCGGACAAAAAUAUCUAAAAGAGAAGCUCUUGAUGUAAAAGCCAUUUAUUCUUUAUAUUGCGCAUUGUCUCCCACUGAAUAUAAUAGGAUCUCUUCAUGUGAAACAACAAAAGAAGUUUGGGAUAAACUUCAUGUCACUUAUGAAGGCAUUGAUUGUGUAAAAGAGACAAAAGUAAAUUUCUUGCUCGGAAAAUAUGAAUCCUUCAAGAUGAAGCCGGGAGAGUUGAUUGGAGAUAUGUUCAGCUGUUUUACAGAAAUUGUAAAUGGUUUAGCGUAUCAAAGUCAUCCAAUUUUUCCCCAUGCAGGCCUCUCGCCGAGGCCCGCUAUGUCAAAAGCGAGAGAAACCCUGAAUGAAGGUCAACAAACUUGUGUGAGGUCUCUUAAAAGAUUGGAACCGUGUUAAGACCUCAAUUCGAGAGACUUAGAGGCUUAUGCCACUCUUCGUUGACGAAUUGAUUGGCACUCUUCAAUCCUACGAAGUUGAACAAAUCAAUGAUGAAGAUCCCAAAGGUAAGAAGUCCAUUGUUUUAAAAUCUAACGCUAAUUCUGAUAAUACAGACUCAGAAAAUGACAUGGACGAUGAAGAACUUGCUUUUAUGAUCAAUAAAUUCAAAAAGCUGAGUAGAAAAUGAAGGAAAUUCAGUGGAAGAAGAGAAUACAAGCAGAAUGGGCAGAAAAGAAUAAUGAAAGAAGAUGACAAGUAAGGAAAUAUAUGCUUGAUGGCAUAUUCAGACUCAGACUCAUAAUUUGACUCAAACACAAAGUUAGAAUCUGAUAAGCUUAAACACAAAGUUAGAAUCUGAUAAGGAAAUCGAGGUAAGUCAUUCAGAAAUUCCUACUAAAGUUUCAAAGUAUAUAAAUGAGCUUCGCUUAAACCUCAAAUCUUCUCUUAAAAUGAUCUCUGAACUAAAAAAGGCGAAUUUAUGGCUUAGGCAACAGGAUUUUUCUUGAAAAAAAAUAGCUUGAAAUUUUGCAAAAAGAUUUUCUACAAAAAAAAGAAAGUCGAGAUUCACUUGUCAAAGAAAAUGAUUCUUUAAAGAAAGAAUUUUCAAAUAUUUUGACAAAAUUUUCAAAGGAUUCAAAACAUUAGAGUAUAUCAUUUCUAUACAAGUACCUUACUAUAACAAGUCAAGACUUGGUUUCAAUAAGGAAAUUGAUUCUCUAAUAGAUUUUCCUAAAGUCCAUGAGAGACUUAGAUAAAGAAUUCCUAGACUUGCGUACAAGAAACAUUUUCAAAGAAUCUUUACAAAACCUAUUGGUCGAAAUGCCCUUAAGUGUUAAAAUUAUGGAGACUCAAAACACUUUGAGAAAGAAUUUACUAAAGUCUUGAGACCUAUUAAGAAAGAUUGGUAAAAACGACAUACUCUACUAACUCUCAUGGAUCCAAAAAAAUAUGGGUACCAAAGAAAAGAUGAGUUGUUUUUUUUGCAGGAAAUAAAGGAAAAUAAGAAAGAGAAUUUGGUAAGGAAAAUAAAUUUUUUAUUCUCAAUUUGGUUUGAGUACAUAAUUUAAAAGUUCUCAUUAUAUUUAUAUUCUCUCUGUGCCCUGAUUGAUUUAGAUUUUAUAAUGAUCGUAUUCUUUGAUUGGUUUGAUUGAAGGAAGAAUCACGUGAUUUUUUUUUUUUAAUUCGUGAGUUGAGAUUUGAUUUAAUAUGUGUUAUUAUUUUUGAUAUCUUGCUUAGAGACAAUUGAGUUUAUUUAGUUUGAUUUUAUCAGAUUUUAUUUUGCAAAGUAGAAAUCUGAUUUACGAGAUAUUAAUUUAUUAUGCAAGGUAUUCAUUCUCAGAUACUCAAGGAUUUUAUUCUCUUUAAUUUUAUUUUGCUUUGACUAAAUGAGAAUUUCUUUUUCAAUAUAUUAUUGUGCAAGAUAUUCUCCCUUAAACACUUUUUUUUUUAUGAUGAUGAAUUAAGAAAGAAUAUUUGAUUAUCUAUGGAGAUUUUAUAUUUUGCUCUAACGAAAUGGAAGGAUCCAGAGGAAGAAUAAUUGUGAAUCUACACAAAUUUUGGUGCAAUCAAAAUGGGGGAGAACAUGAAUCCAAAAUAAAGGAAAAGAAUCGUGAUCAAACUCAAAAAGGCAACAAAUUGAGAGGGAGUAUUGAUCAAUUAUGGAAAAAUCUUUUUAAAUCGAUUGUGAUCUUGAUUAUUAUGGAAUGAAGGAAAAGCUAAAUGUGUCAGAACUUGUUAAAUUCUAAAAAAUCUGGUUAGUGCAUCUUUUAUUAUCUUUUGUAAUUCACAUAUCUCUUAUUUACAUUAUCAUUUUAUUAUGACAAAGGGCAAGUGAAUUUUAUAAUAUAUCCAUGAUUUUUAUUAGAUAUUUACCGAUAUCUAUGAUCUAGUGAACUAUAUUACAUAUCUUUGAUAUUUGAUUUACUUUAUAAAAGCUUAUUCUUUUGGAAAUUGUAUUUCAUGCAAGAUAUUUGUUAUGAUUUUAUAUUCUCUACAUGACACUUUUUCCAUUGUUAUUGCUUUUUGAUCAAGACAAAAGGGGGGGAGGGGGGAAUAUAAAUAUGCAUAUGUGUUGAUUGGUUAAUAUUAUUAAUUGCAUAAUAUUGAGCUGCAAUUAUUUUUCUAUAUAUUGUUAUGCUCAAUCUAUUUGUUAUCUUCUACUAUCUUUUGAUUUGAAUUACAUUAUUAUUUAAGAUUGCCCUGAUUUAUUAAUAUUUUUAAAAGCGUGUUUACACAUUUGUAUAUUCAGAGAGUUUUUUCAUCACAAAAAAAAUGAGGAGAUUUUUAAGGAAAUCUCUUGUGAUGUUUUAAAGAUGACAAAAUAAAUCACAUACUACUAACGUGUUUAAUGGUUGAGUAACGAACUAUGUAGAUGAUAGAACAUGUAAAUGAUAUUGUCGAAGUCUAUACUUGGAAGAACUAGAAGAUAGACUCUAUACUGAAGCUGGACUUUUUCAGACUGUGUCAAGAUCUUAAGACUAAAUAUGUUCAGAAGCAGAAUGUAUUCAGACUUAUGUCCAAAUUGUAAAGUCUACUUCAGACAGAACAAGACACAAGUCCAGAACGUGAUAAGGUCCAAAACAAGACACAUGUUCAGAAAUGUAACAAAUUCAGAACAAAUCAUGUUCAGAAUGAAACAACUUGAUAGAACGUAACACAAGCCCCAAAUAUAUAACGGCUAGUGAAAUGAUUUGGAUUUUAUAUCAAGAUAGAUUUGAUUGACGAUUGGAUCAUGAAGACAAGAACUUUAUAUACGAAGAAGCUCUACUUAUGGAAAUCAAGAUUUUGUUUUAUGGGCAAUCACAAUCAACUUGGGAUUCUACUUUUGUCACUCAACGGCUACUAAAUCUUCUUGAUCAAUGGGUAUAUUGGAAAACGAUCUUCUAGAUACUAUCCAACGGCUAGUUUAGAAGUGGAUGAGUAUUUAAGGAGAUCAAUGAUUGACGAGCAAGUAAAAGACGGAGUGUAUAAUUUAUAAUUCCAAAAUCUGAGUGAACUUCGAUCAUACAUUUGACUCUCGUGAGCUUAAACAUUUGUGAUUGUGAGAGAAAUACCAAAGAGUAACUUAAUAAGAUAGUGUAAUCUACUACUGAGUAUUUGCACUCAAAGUUGUAAUCUCUUGUUGAUCACAUAGUGAAAUCCAAUUAGAAGACUGCGUGGGAGAGUAGACGUAGGCUUGAUCUAAGCCGAACCACUAUAAAUUUCGUGUGCAACAUUCUCUUCACUUAAUUUUUCAUAUUUAAGUAUGUUGCAUACUUAUAGGUUAUUUCAGAAGUUUGUUCUAUCACAUAACAUAUUCUGAACAAAAUUAAAUCAGUCCUGUUGCCACAAAAAAUAUCAGCACAUGGUUUUCUAAGAAUAUGCAAUCUCUCUCUCUCUCUCUCUCUCUCUCUCUCUCUCUCUCUUCAAAAUAUUCUUUCUUAAAGAUGGAUAAUUAGGCAAAUGAGCUUUAAACUUUAGUCUAAUGAUAAUUAGACAAAUGAGCUUUAAACUUUAGUCUAAUUUUACAAUAUCAUCACAGAACUUUUAAUUUGUUCAAUAUAAUCCAUAAAAUUUUGGUAAAUAUUCAAUGUUUUUUGAUAACUUGAAUUAAUAAAAAGAUAAUAUUGAAUAUUUUCAUAUAAUCAAAAAACCAAAUUGAACAUUUAUCAAAGUUCAUAAUCACAUUAAACAAAUUGAAAUUUUAUGGACAGUUAUGGGCUACAUUGAAUAAAUUAAAAGUUCAUGAGCGAUAUUGCACAUUCGGUCAAAACUUAAGACCAUUUGUUUUAUUUUCUCUCUUGACAAAACAUGAGAAGAAAUUUUAUUUAGGGAUCUUAACUAGUUCAAAAGCUGCACCCUCCCGUAAAAAUGGGGAAGAAAGAAAGAGCCAGUGAUGGAAAGGACAUGGCUUGAUACCUAUGUGCCUUUUCAUUUUGGAAACACACAAACUUAUUGGAGAAAUGCUUUCAUUCUUUAUUACACCCUAACCAAUUUCUUCUGAUAAUGCUCUUAGGAUUGGCGCACUUUCACUUCCAGCUUGAAUGUCUUCCCCAGUGGAAGUGACAAUUCUGAGACUUCAGCAAUCGCAAACUCUCCACCAUCGCUCGAUUUUCCCAUUGUUUUCAUUGUUCUCUGUCCGGACAUUGCUUCUACAUCAUUGGAUAAUUCAUGCCCUCUCAAUCUCGUCAUUCUAGUUCCUUUUCUCAAUCCUAGAAUUGUCACCUUAUCAAUUACCCACUUCUCAAUCAGAGCAAAUUCCCUAUUAACAACUUCUGAUCUGACAACAACACCAUUCUCUGUUUUCUCACAAUAAAACUUCACCAGAGUCCACUUAUUUCCUUCCCCUCCCAUUUCGACAUCAUCUCCAUCAUCCAAGAACACUUGUCCUGUGCUAUUCCCAUGGCCAUCAACCACAACUAACAGCUUGAAUGGUGUUCUUCGAGCUGCUUCCGUAGUCAUGGCCUCUCCUUGCAUGGCCAAUAUAUUACCUUCCCUUACAUGAAGAUGAGGAUGAUCACGCGGCGCAUUGAGCAUCACAUUCAUUCCUGAAGCUGUACUUACUGAAUUUGAGUAAUUGAAGAGAUCAAACCAAUUUCCACUCGGAAAAUAAGCAUCCACAGUUUGGGCACCUGAUUUUAGUACAGGAGUCACCAUCAGACCCUUACCAAUUAAGAAUUGGGAAUUGAUAUUGUAAGUCAUUGUAUCCUCGGGGAAUGAGAAAAAUAGGGGCCGGGCAAUGGGUAUUCCCCUUCUAUUUGCCUCAUACAUCAAGGUAUACAAGUAUGGGAGCAAGCGAUAACGAAGCCUGAGCACCAUUCUGGCGGAUGCAGCGACCGAUUCCCAGAGAUAGAGCUCUUGACGAAUAGUACCCUUAUCAGAGUGGUCUCUUGCAAAGGGAUAAAAAGCUCCAAGCUGCAUCAGUAAAAGCUCUUAAGAAAAUGCUUAAAUUAUGUAUGACAGAAAAACAUGAUUUACACCUCUAUUCAAUCUCUACUAUAUAUUCUUCCCUUCCGUAGAAGAUUGAGAUAUCUUCAACAUAGCAUGAAGUAUAAGCACACAAGAUACCCAACUUCCCCUCAUCAUAUAUAUAUAUAUAGUUUAUUUCUGUCUUCAAAAGGAGGUAAAAUUUAACCUAAAAAAAGAAAUAGAAAAUUCAUAAACUCCUAAUUCUGAAUAUUAAUUCGGAAAAAUCUUAAAGUUCAGUUCCAAAGCUCUUCAGUUAAUAUAAAUUAAGAUUAGGCUCAAAAGAUUUUACCUGAAUCCAUCGGUUGCAGAGCUCUUCAAAUGUGUCUCGAGUGAAACCACAUAUAUCAGCUCCUACCAUUGGAAUUCCAAAGAGCCCAAAAUUUAAAAUUGCAGGAAUUGAGUAAGCCAAGUCAUCCCACGUCGCGGCAUUGUCCCCAGUCCAAUGUGCAGUGUGCUUGCCAGAGCUCACAAAAGUUGAUCUUGAGAGAAUGAAUGGCCUUUUACCAGUAAGAUUGACUAAGGCCUCGUUUGUUGCUUUGGCUUCCAAGAGUCCAUAGAGGUUAUGAGCAUUGUAUUCUGAAAUAUUUCCAAAAUGAAGUGACGUUGCAGGGAUAGUUUUGUUGUUGAUAGGCCGAUGAACUCCUGCAUUGUUCAUUUUGUAGGGAGGAUUGUCAAGAGUGGAAGGAAGAGGCGGAGGAUCAUUGAAGUUGGACAACUCGUUCAUGUCGAUCCAUAGGCCAUCAAAUGGAAGAACAUCGUGAAACCUCUUUAUCUCCCCACUCCAAUAACUCUCAAUAGAUGGGUGAAGGAAGUCAGGGAAGUACACUGGCCCUGGCCAUACGGGACCUAAAUAUGGCACUCCCUCACGCUUGAUGAAGAUGUCGGCUUGCAUCCCCCUGAUGUAGGUCCCAUAUGUCUCGUUCACGCUAAUGCCUGUGAAAGAUCACCCAUUCAAAAGAAAAGGAAAGUAGUAAUAUGAUGGCAAUUUAGAGAGAAAUUAAAAGAUCGAGUUUCAAGCGCAAGCAUUUCUGCACUAGUGUACCUGGAUCAAGUAUUAGGACAUAUUUUUUCUUGUUCUUGUGAAGGCUGCUGAUGAAUUCUUUCAUCUUUUCCACUGGAAAAUUGAUAGGGUCAAGAGUGAAGUCUUUAUAUGCAUCCAUGUAAUCGAUGUCAGUCCACAUAACUUCCAAUGGUAUAUCAGCUUUUGCAUAACCAGCUACCACGCCCUCUAAGUCUGUGACAUUAUUGUAACCCCACCGGCAUUGAUGAAAUCCUAGAAAGUAAAUCAAAGAUACUUUAUCAGUAGAACUACAUUUCAAACUUGUCAGGUAGAACGUGCAGAAGAAGCCAUCUAGCAUGAAUCAAACUUUACAAUUGAUCCAUGCCUAGCAGCAUAUACCAGAAAAGCGGCUACUUUUCUUGAAAAUCAGUGAGCCUAGUGGUAGGAUCAACUGGGGGUCGGGAAGCAGUGGUUUUCAAAGGAUAAUAACACACCUUUAAGAUUUGUUCCCUAUUAAGCAUAACAUGCACAAUCUGACUAGUGUCAUCUCCACGAGAGAAUAACCUCACAAUGCAAUUCAAGGGCAAUGAACUCAGAAUCUUCAAUACUAUCAUCUUUAUAUUAUAUACGACCACCACAUAAUUAUUCUCAAAAUCUCAUAUUUACUGCAGAAUAAGCUACAGAAGCCGAAGCACAACAUUGGAAUCAAAUUCAUCAAAAUGUCAGCAUCAACGAUUGAAAGCAAUACAUAAAAACCAGCAUACCGAAUUCAAUAUCAUUAUGUUAGAUACUACCACCACACGGUCAAGCUCAAAAUCUCAUAGAGAUUGCAACAUAAGCUGGAAGCCGAUUAACAAUGGUGGAAUCAAAUUCAUCGAAAUGUACCCAACAACAAUUGAAAGAAACUCAUCAAAACCAGAUACCAAAGGACCAGUAUGGCAUUGGGGUCGGCCGGCCAAUGAGCUCGGUGUACUGCUCCAUGACUGCCUCCGGCGACGGCCCCUGGAAGAAAUACAAAUCCAACACCCCACCGAUCACCUUGUAAGUGAUCCUGUCGCCAGUAUACACCACAUCCAUGCCAUUGCUGUUCAGCAACAGAACGCCGUGGCUCGUGCCCGCCCCAACUCCUCCGCCACGGCGGCCGCGGCCGCCGACAGACGACCUGACGUCCAUGUAAAAGGGAUGUGACCCGUACAGGUUGACAUCGAGGUUCCAGCUACCGAUGUCGGCGUUCCACAUAGUAAGGGUUUGGUUGGGUUGGAGCCGGAGCGACGGCUUCGUGUGCUCUCCGAUCCCGUAGAGGGAGGACCGGCCGGGAGGGAGGGAGGAGGAGAGCUGGAGGUACUGGUCCUUGAAGACGAGGAAGGCCGAGGGGCCGGAGGUGGAGGUGUCGAAGAGGACGUCGCCGGAGGAGCGGCGGGAGACGGCGAAGGAGAAGGGGGUGGUGUCGCGGAGGACGAAGACCAGGUCAGAGGAGGCAGCGGAGAGGCGGCGGUAAGAGCCGGAGGGGGACGGCAGCGGCGGCGGAGCCGGGGUUCGGCGGGGAGGGGAGGGAGAUUGGCGAGGGAUAACGUCGUCGGGGACUUCCCAUCGGCGGCGGUCGGCGUCUGUGAUUCGGACUCGAAGACGUCCGCUCGCUUCGAAGCUAGAAGGAGAACCGUGAUGACGUCAGCAAAAAUUACCCAUUAAAAUAUACUUAAUUAUUUAUCUUGCAAAUAUAAUAUAUAUAUAUAUAUAAACUACCAUUUUAAUUUAAUCUUGCAGGUGUUUCGAUAUCGAAAUUUGAUUAUUUUCUUUCCAGCAACAACCUUCUUAUAAUAAUUUAAAAAAUCGAAAUAUUUUUCUCCUUUUUUUAAGCAUAUUUAUACUAUGAAUUUUGAUCGUGUGUUAUUACUAAUAUCUAUUUUCAUUGUUUAAUUAAAUUUUCUAUAAUAUAAUGAUUUCAACUUUAUAUAUAUAUAUAUAAACUAACGUUUUUUUUUUUUUUUGCGCAUAUAUGUCGAUUGUAAAAAUGAAUCUAGCAAAAAUACUAAAAUGAGAGUGAAGUUUUGCUCUGGACCUGGCAACGAGGCGGAGGUUCUCGACGUCAGGCCCGUAUACGGAGGUCGCGUUGACGAGGCGGAGACCGGCGGUCAACGCCGUUCCCGACGCGUCGACGGCCACGGACCCGACCGUGUAUCCAUACCCAACAACGCCGGGCGUCCCCUCCCCUUCUCCGACCGACGCGCGAACGGCUGACUGCGACGACAGCAGGUACAAGAAGAUCAACAACGCAGAGAGAGGCGGAAGACGGCGAUGAUGGUCUCUGCUACUCCGCAUGUUUUCGGCUAGAGAGAGAGAGAGAGAGAGAGAGAGAGAGGGAGUGGGAGGAGCUUUGAUUUUCAUCCGCCGACCGCGGCGGACUUCCCACGUCUGGUCUUCCAAUCCCGUCCCUUUCUGAUUCCUCAGAAA
rnacentral:lncRNA from 1 species